UCACAAGGACACUUACUACCUUUCUCUUCUAUCUACAAUAAAACCUCUAUAAAUAAAUAAUGUUAGGAACAUGAAAAAAUAUACUUUAGAGAGAAUAGUAUAUUAUCGAUAAAUGAAAAUAUUCAUUUUUCAAUAGUUAUUCAUGCACUCCCUAUUUGGCCUCACCCUCACAAGGACACUUACAACAUUUCUCUUCUAUCUACAACAAAAUUUUUAUAAAUAAAUUGUCACAUCCCGAUCCUUAAAUUUUUACCUUAUUUACUAGCUUGUUUAUAAUAAGAAUUUUACCGUCUCCGUCAAUGAAGUUAUAGUUUAAUUGGUCCCUAGAGGGGUUUCGGGGGACGAUUAUUUCGGAGAGUUAUUCGUAGGAGAAAAAUAUGACGACGGUAAAAAUGGUAAAUUUUAGCUAGUAAAAGGUAAUUUUUUAUUAGGGUAUUAUUUUUGGGGUGUAAAUUUUGGUAAAGUUGGGUAUAAUUAUGGUUUGGAUCGGGUGUGAAGGCCCAAGUCCUUUCUCUCUUCCUCUCUCUUUUCUUCUCCUCUUCCUCCCGAUCCCUCUCCCGAGUUCUCUCUCCCCGGCUAACUUCCGGCCGUCCACCUACCGCCGUCCGGCCACCGUUCGCCGCCGCUCCGGUCCCGUUCGAUCGGUCUCCAACCCAGCAUCCUCCCUGGCCCGGUGACAGCUCCCCUAGCGCCGUCGUGAGUGAGGAACGACGCCCAAAGCCGUUGGAAGCCGUGGUGGUUCGCUCGCCGGAGCUCUCUCCUCCAGCCACCAAAACCGGCGAUCCUUAGCUCAUUUUGUAGCCCUCCUCCCGUGCAGCAACCCCUCCAAAGAGCUCAUUCUCUCUUGAGCUAGGUAAGGAGAAAUGUGGAGUUGAAAUUUCUAGGGCUUUUAGGAUGUUUUUAGUCGAUUACCCUAGUUAGGCUUGGAAUUGGUGUUUGUGCUAGUUAAGAGAGUUGUAGAGCAUGAUGAGAGGAUUAUUCUGUCAAAAUUUCAUAGGCAUUGGAGGUCGCCGGAAUCGGCCUCCGGCCGCUGCUGCCGGCGUUGUUUGGGAGAUUUUUAUGGUUUUAAAUGUGGAUUAUUAAUGGGUGUUUAUUGAAGUGAAUUAUGGAAUUUUUGGAUGAGUUUUGGAUAGGUUUGUGAUUUUCCGAAGUUUCGUAUUUUGGCGGUUAAAUAAUGUAGAAUCCGGCCGUAGGAUUUAAGUCAUAUUUUAGGGGAGGUUGUAUUUACGGCUGCCGGUAUGUUCGGUGAAGGUUGAGCCAUUUUGAGUUAAGAAUGGUGUAGAUGGGCAAUGAUGGGUGUGUGGGAGGCUCACGUUUAAUUUUGCCCAUUUUGUUUAAUUAUUGGAUCUUUAGUGGGAAAUUAAUAUUAUAUUUGGAACAGGACGUGAGGAGGCUCGAGCAGACGAGGCCCCAGAUCGACAUCAGGCUUAGGCCAAAUUUGUGAGUGGACGUUUAUUUUAAAUAAAUGCAUGCUAUAGUUCAUGGUUGAACAAUAAAUGUUGCAGAAUAUUUUGACGAUUGUUAUUUCUCUUGGAGAGUUACCGAAAAUGGGAUUUUCGGUGGAUAUAAAUAUGUAUUUAUGAGAGAGUAUGUAUAUAAAUGCUAGCUAGCCAUACACUACCAGAAGAAAGACUUUAGCCGACGAAAAUAAAAAAACCAGGCCGACGAAUUUUUUUUUCAUCGGCUAAAGUGGACUUUAGCCGACGAAAUUUUCCUUCGUCGGCUAAUUUUAAAAUUUUCGUCGGCUAUGGUCAACUUUAGCCGACGAAAUUAAUAUUUCGUCGGCUGAAUAAUUUUUUUCGUCGGCUAUAGUUUGUGAACUUUAACCGACGAAAUUUUUAAAAGUUUAGCCGACGAAAUUUUUAACUUUAGCCGACGAAAUUUUUAAAAGUUGAGCCGACGAAAAAUAUAAUUUCGUCGGCUAAAGUGCCUUAUAUUUGCAGAUCUAGACAACAACUCAUCUGGAAAAAAAAAACUAUACGUAGAACCUUCAAACGCAAAAAAGUCGUGAAAUAAGAUAUGACCAUAAUGGUGAAAUACGUCUACGGUUGAAAAAUCACGGUAUUCCAGUAAAGUCUCGGUGCCGAUAGUUGCGGUCAAUGCAAUUUACUCUUAUUAUUCACUAUGCUGCAGAUUUGGCAUUUGGUGUCUGAUUGACUAUUGUGAUACAUUUCCGGAAGCGUAACAGCGCUACAAGAUGUAUAGACCUUUUUGGCCAUCUGAGUCCGUUUAGGGCUUCAAAAUGCAGUUUUCUUAUUUUCGAUUAGAGUUGACCGUUUGGAUCGAGCCUUUAACGUUGUCGAAUCCAGUUGAAUUUUUUACCAUAGACAUCUUUCGUCAUAAUGAUCAUAUCUGACGGUCCAAUUUUGGUUUGUGAAUUUUAGUCAUCGGAAUCACAACGUGUCUACUAUUUACCGUUAUUAUUCCCUAUGGGGGAGCCCUAUCAUCAGAAGGUAAAUGUUUCAAAAUUUUUAUAUGGGCAGUUGCGUCUCAUCUACGUGAGAGUUUUUUGUGUGGAAGGUUUGACCAAACUACGUAAUAUAGAGGGAGAUAUGAGCGUUUUCGUGUGAUAAGUGACGAUGGAUUAUGGUUGACCGUUUCUAUCGAGCCCUUAACGUUGUCGGAUCCAAUUGAAUUUUUUACCAUAGACAUCUUUCGUCAUAAUGAUCAUAUCUGACGGUCCAAUUUUGGUUUGUGAAUUUUAGUCAUCGGAAUCAUAACGUGUCUACUAAUGUUGUAUAACUUGUUUAGUAGGUUAUACAACUUUGUGAACCAACUCUACAGAGGAAGCAAAAUUAUCAAAAAUCUCGUGAACUAAGAUGUGUUCAGAAUGGUGAAAUACAGCUAUGGUUCAAAAAUCACGUAAAUCGGGUAAAGUCUCGGUGCCGAUAGUAGCGGUCAACCCUAUUUACCGUUAUUAUUCCCUAUGGGGAGCCCUAUCAUCGGAAGGUAAAUGUCUCAAAAUUUUUAUAUAGGCGGUUGCGUCUCAUCUACGUGAGAUUUUUUCAUGUGGAAGGUUUGACCAAACUACGUAAUAUAGGGGGAGAUAUGAGCGUUUUCGUGAAUUUAUAGACUUUUGCCGACGAGAUAUUAAAAAAGUCGUCGGCUAAGGUAAAAAAAUUUCAAAAUUUUUUGGGCGGUAAACCAAAGUUGGAGGAAAAUUUUUAAAGGACUUUAGCCGACAAAAAUAUAUGAAAAGUCGUCGGCCAAAGUCGAAAAAUNNNNNNNNNNNNNNNNNNNNNNNNNNNNNNNNNNNNNNNNNNNNNNNNNNNNNNNNNNNNNNNNNNNNNNNNNNNNNNNNNNNNNNNNNNNNNNNNNNNNNNNNNNNNNNNNNNNNNNNNNNNNNNNNNNNNNNNNNNNNNNNNNNNNNNNNNNNNNNNNNNNNNNNNNNNNNNNNNNNNNNNNNNNNNNNNNNNNNNNNNNNNNNNNNNNNNNNNNNNNNNNNNNNNNNNNNNNNNNNNNNNNNNNNNNNNNNNNNNNNNNNNNNNNNNNNNNNNNNNNNNNNNNNNNNNNNNNNNNNNNNNNNNNNNNNNNNNNNNNNNNNNNNNNNNNNNNNNNNNNNNNNNNNNNNNNNNNNNNNNNNNNNNNNNNNNNNNNNNNNNNNNNNNNNNNNNNNNNNNNNNNNNNNNNNNNNNNNNNNNNNNNNNNNNNNNNNNNNNNNNNNNNNNNNNNNNNNNNNNNNNNNNNNNNNNNNNNNNNNNNNNNNNNNNNNNNNNNNNNNNNNNNNNNNNNNNNNNNNNNNNNNNNNNNNNNNNNNNNNNNNNNNNNNNNNNNNNNNNNNNNNNNNNNNNNNNNNNNNNNNNNNNNNNNNNNNNNNNNNNNNNNNNNNNNNNNNNNNNNNNNNNNNNNNNNNNNNNNNNNNNNNNNNNNNNNNNNNNNNNNNNNNNNNNNNNNNNNNNNNNNNNNNNNNNNNNNNNNNNNNNNNNNNNNNNNNNNNNNNNNNNNNNNNNNNNNNNNNNNNNNNNNNNNNNNNNNNNNNNNNNNNNNNNNNNNNNNNNNNNNNNNNNNNNNNNNNNNNNNNNNNNNNNNNNNNNNNNNNNNNNNNNNNNNNNNNNNNNNNNNNNNNNNNNNNNNNNNNNNNNNNNNNNNNNNNNNNNNNNNNNNNNNNNNNNNNNNNNNNNNNNNNNNNNNNNNNNNNNNNNNNNNNNNNNNNNNNNNNNNNNNNNNNNNNNNNNNNNNNNNNNNNNNNNNNNNNNNNNNNNNNNNNNNNNNNNNNNNNNNNNNNNNGCAUUAAGGCGUGACGUGAGCGUUGGACGCGAGCGUAGUAGCCCUAUAUAGACCCAUGAAUUUAUAUAAGGAGUAUGGACGUGUGUAAAUACAUACAUAUAUUAUAGAGUCUGAGAGGCUCGAUAUUUUAUGAGAUAAAAGUUUUAUCGCUUGCGGCAUGCAUUCGAUUUUUCCUUAGAAAUUGAUUUGGGGAAACAUAAAUAUUUUAUUUAUUAAUUUAUUUUUGUCUACUCACUCUAACGUUAUUAAAUGUUUUCCCCCUGGGCCCUUCAUUUUAAAAAAUGCCCAAUCUGCAAAGUUCGGGUUGGAACUAGUAGGAGGCGAGGCAUAGUCACCCGCAUUUCUGCCAGUUUUCAUCAGUAGGUUACAUGUUCAACCUACUCGUGUUUUCUUGCUUCUGCUAGAGUCUAGUAGCUCUGGAUACUUUGGGAUUAUUGUUUAUUAUUUCGGUGGUUUGCUCGGCUUGAUGAUUUGAUGUUUAGAAUUUCUGAAGGAUAAUGUUUGCUUUUAUUAGCUGGAUAUUUAUGUGAAGUUUGGACGUGUUGUAGUAAGAGUGUAAAUUUGAAAUUUUUGAGUUAGGGUUGUCCAUUUUCAAGGGAGGUUUUAACAAUCUUUUCGGUAAAUUUUCUUUGGAGGUGGUCCCCGCACGACUUACUCCGAGUUUCAGGGUGAAAUUUGGGGUGGGUCGUGUCAGUUAAAUAAUGUUAGGAACAUGAAAAAUUAUACUUUAGAGAGGUUAUUAUAUUCUCGAUAAAUGAAAAUGUUCAUUUUUUGAUAGUUUAUUACUUUAUAUAGGGCUUUGUUGUUAGGAGUUUCUUAUUUGUUAAGAGUUUCCUUAAUUUUUCAUAAUACAAGGAAAAAGCAAAAGACUUUAUAUAGAUAUUUUGAGAAAUUACUAAAUUGAGGAAUUAAAAUUGUUAAGAGUUUUCUUAAUUUGUAUUAUUAUGAACAUUAAUUACUUUUUCUUUUAUUUAUUUUAUUAAUUUUUAAUAUUUUUGGAUGAUUUUCUUUUUUGGUUAUUAUGUCGAGACGACCCUAUCCCGUUCUGAUCCGACCAGUCACCAAUCGGGACGGGACGGGACAUGAUCAAUUCUUAAAAACGAUAUUCCUAUAUCGUCCUGUCCUGCCCUUUUAUUUUCAGGACAGGACAAGAUUUACCAAACCCCGUCCCAUGCCUAACCUUAGCCAAAACGGUCCAACUUCUAAUCAACUACAUUACCUAUAACCUCUAACACUUCCCGAGAAACCGCCAUCAUUUUUUUUUCUUAAACAGAUACAGAAUGCUAAGAACAUCUUUAACAACGCUAGCCAUUUUAUAAUCAAAUUUUAGCCAAAAUAGCUAAAAAGUCAUUUUUUUGGCUCGCCACUUUAGAAAUCCCUCUACACCAGUACUCUAUAUUUCAACUAAAGUUUGAUUUAUGUCAUCAUUUAAAAUAUAAUUCAUUUAAAUGUGUUUUAUUAUUACAUAAAGGGUUACAUAAAAUGACUUAAAAAUGAACACUUUGAAUUAACAUAAAUUAUAGAAAGCCUCAUCUUGUUAGCUAAGAGCAUCUUUAGCAGACACUAUAUUGACUCUUUAGCCAUUUUGGAGAGCGAGUUUAGUUUUUUUAUCAGUUUUACUAGCUCUAGCAGACUAGUAAGUGGCUAGCUAUUUUAACUUUUAGUUAUCUCGCUAGUUAAAUAUAAUUUAUGUAACUUAAAGUAUUCAUUUUAAGUCAGUUUAUGUAAUAUCAAAACACUUUUAAAUUUACUUUUCUUUAUUUAAUCAAUAAUAUAAAUCAAGCUUUAGUUAAAAUAGAGAGUACCGCUAUAGAAGAAUUUCUAAAGUGACCAGCCAAAAUAACUUUAAUUACAAAAUGACUAGCAUUGCUAAAGAUGCUCUUACUAGUCUGCUGGAGUUGGUAAAAUCGAUAAAAAACUAUACUCGCUCUCAGAGAGUCUGCUAAAAAUGCUGUAAGCGAACAAUGAAUUAUAGUAAAUUAUAGUGAUGCUAGAAAGGAAAUUAUAGCAAAGUGCUCCCCUUUAUUUGAAUACCCACCUACGGCUUUGAUUGUUAUUACUUCUGCAAAAGCUACAACGUCAUUCCUUGCGGUAGUCAUUUUUUCCCACUUCAGUCAAUGAGCAGUUACUUUAUAUUUUACCCUAUUUUGAUAUGAAGGGAGACAAUCUAAUGACAAUCUUAUAAUGAGAAUCAAGUGAAGACUUUGGCUUAGUUUGGUAUUACUGUGAGAAUACUCAAUUUUUUUAAAAAAACUUAGUUUUAAAAAAGCAAUUCACAAUCUGCUUCUAAAAUCGUGGUUAUUUAAACUAAAACGUUUUAGAUAUACCUUGAUCCUCAUUAUAAAAUGAUGAAUAUAAGUCAUUUUAUUCCCCAAAACUUAAUACAAAACUGGCCCUUUGAAUGAAUUGGUUAGAUGAUAUGCAUCUUGAAAUUUGAAAAAUAUUGAAUGAACUUUAAAACACUCAUCUAAUCGUUAUUUCAGAACAAUCAAAAGUCCUCAUUUGAUCUGCUUUAGAAGCUAUCACUUGAUAUAAAUACUUUUCUUAUGCAUAUUAACAACUCAUGGGGACAUUUGGAAGUAAAACGAAUUUAACUACAUUCUAAGAUGAAUUUUGCUAAAAGGCACAAAUCUUCCGAGAUUUAGAUUGAGAAUGCGCUUGAGAGAAGUUUGAUUUUUACCUCCUUGGCCGGCAACGAGCACUUUCGCCUUUGUCGAACUUGCAUUUGUUGGUUAUGUUUGGGUCUGGAAUGUGUUGGGCUCCUAGCGACAUCUGAUGUGGGCAUGUGGAUCAACGAGAGCUUGGUGGCAAGUUGUGAGAUUAGGAAAAGGGAAAUUGUAGCGACUAGCGGGGUUUAGUGUAUCUCUCGAUGGCUUGGUUUGCUGAUCACCUUGGAGGCGCGAGUUCGGAUGAUGCGGGGUAUUAGGAUUUAUGUGGCAUGGAAGCGUGGUCAUCAGAUCAAACCGGUCCAUUAUGGAUUCUAUUUGGUAUGGGGAUGAGUCUGCUUGACAAGAGCGACAUGUUUCCAUGUAGUGGUAGGGAGAGCCAGAUGAUGACUACAACGAUCUAGCAACUAUUUUGGCGCCGUGCAGAUGGUGGUAUGGUGAUGGUGAUCAUGGUAGAGUUGGGCUUGUGUGGCGGCUUGGGUCUCCCUUGUUUCCUUGGUUGAGAUUUGGGCUUGGGCCAUCAUUUUGAGCCUGGUCUUAGUUGGUUUAUUUACCUUUACUUAUUUUAUUUGGUUAGUCUUUGUCACCUCUUUAGCGUGUGAUAAGUUCCUAUAAUUAUUGUGUGGGGCUAGUUGGGUUGUGUACCUGUGUGUGCACUUAAAGUGUCUUGUAUGCUCUAAGUAAGCAACGAGUUUCUUACUUCGGUAGUUUCCGAACUGCUGCUUAAUCCAUGGGUAAGCAAAAGACAACCUGGAGAACUGAAACAUCUUACUAAUCGCUUACUGGUGGGGUGAAGUUAAGUGUCGUCCGCUCUAUUUUUCGACAACAAGAUAAUUGGAAAGAUGAAUCAUGGGAUAUUAAGAUAUGUAAUCGUAUAUUCGUGUUAGAUAUUUAGUGAUCUUCACCGCUAUAUCAAAACAAAUGAAGUCGUUAGUAAAACAAUUUUCUUUACUAGUUAGUUGGUGCUUGUUACGAGAGCUGUAUUUUGUAGAAAUUUCUGAUAUUGCCUCAGGAUAUACUCUAGAUGCUUAUUGUAAUAAGAGAUUUAGGCUUAACAUCACCCCUUGUAUUCAUCAGUUUUAUUAAUUAAGGCUAGAUGGUACUCUGGUAGCCGCAUCAGCUCUCCCUUUGAAAAAUAUGAAGUUUUCUGGGAGAAACUUUGAGUACUUGACACAAACAGUUGAUCUUUUCAAUGCUCUAUUGUCUAAUUUACUCCCAAUAAUUAUUGGAAGUUGCUACAACAUUGAUCUUGAAUAAGGUUUUGUACUAUUUUGGUGUAGUUGACACAAACAUUGGUCUUUUAAGACAAGAAAAUACAAGGGUUCCUAGCAUAUAUUGUUGUCCACCACUUGAGACCAAAACACUUCAGUAUCCCAACUUGGCUUAAUAGCAAAGUUGUCUGCAUGUGACCCCCAGCCAAAGGUCAUAGCCAGUGUCAUGUGAGUAUUCCUAACAAGACUUUUGGACCAUCUUAGACAGUGACUUGGUACCCAAAAGUCCAACUCUCUAGUCCCGUACCCUCCCUCCUCAUUAGUACUUCAAUACCCAUUUGCUCCAUCAAUACAUAACAAUGGGGCAACCUUGACAGAACAUGAAGAAGAAGUAACAAAUAGAGGUGUUCAGAGAAAUAAAUACAUGAAGAAGAAAAGAAGGGAACAAUAGAGUUCAUUGAUUAAAUCUGAAAGAGAAAAAGAAGAAGAAAAAAAACACAAAAACGAAGAAGACUCGUUGUUUAUGAUUGUUUGUUUGUUGGUGGAAGGUUCAAAUCAUUGCCCAUAUAUAAUGUACUAGCUUCUGUUUUAAUAUUUUGCAUUAUGGUGUGCAAAGUCAUAACAAUGAUUAGGUAGUUUUAUUUGGCAAAACAAUUAUUAGGUAGUUGGAGCAUAUAAUUAACAACCAUAUAACUCAUAUUUACAGCCAUUAAUCCUCACAUUGUUCUUUUAUAUGUAAUUCGUUGUAAUCACUGGGAAGUUUGAGAUUUUGAUGGAACUGGCCCUGAGACAACAGUUCCUAACAAUACAGAAGUAAAAACUAAUGAUUGUUAUAAACUUAUAUUAGUCUCCUACCCUCAUUAUUGAAUAGGCCAAACCCCCAAUGUGAAGAGGCCAAAAAUCAAGGGCAUUUCAAGAACAACUGUUGUUUUUUUGAGUCAUAGGAACAUCUGGACCCAACUAGGAAGAUCUUAUGCGCCAUUAAUUAUGCGCUUGUCUUUGGCUGCUUUCUUCUGGGAACCAAGUCUUUGUUGCCAAUGCAAACAACCUGCAAAAGGGUCCUCCACAACUGCAACAACACAAGUCUCUUCGGUAAGCUGGAAAACCCAAAACAAGAGCUGCUUUUUUCAUAAUUCAAAAGCUCCAUUCUUGCAGGGCAUGGUCAGCAGUCGGCUUUUAUUUUUCUGUUUCUAUCUAGACUUGCAUAUAUAACAAGUUCAGACCUUGUCUAGCUCAGGACCAGUGAUUAGUAGCUGUGUUGAAUCAAUGUCUUAGGAUUUAAGAACUCUGACUUACUAAAUAAGUUAAUUGCAGCUGUAGCUAUCUGUUUUAACUUUUGUGUAUCUUUCUCUGUGGUUGUGCUGGUGUUCUGCUUUUCUUGAGAAAUAAUAAACCCAGAUAUGUUUCAAGAUUUGAAGGUGUUUUCUUUGAGAAUCCUAGAUCUUUUCUGAGCAAGAAAAGUAAAUAUCUUUGAGAAAAAAGUUACCUUUUUUCAAAGUAAAAGGAAAAACUAGUGGUUAAAGUAGAGGACUUGGGAUUCACAAUACGAGUGAUUGAGAAAAGUUACUGUAUCUGGGUUUUGAGACCUCACCAGUUUCAAACUCUUUCUUGUGGAUGUUCUGGCAUUCACUUUUCUGGGAUUCAAGCUCAGCUUUUUGAGAUUCCCAGGGAAUCUCUUGGGAUUUGGAAUUAAUUUGGAAUUGUGGGGAUUUUAGCCGUUAAACAAAGCCAAUGACGGUCAAGUCCAUUUCAACAAUGACAGCCUGUUGUGUCGGUUUUACAGGGUUUUUCCUUCUGUUCUUAUCCCCACUCUCUUUGCCCUUUCUGAAAUCCAAGUCUCAAGAAGAAUCUGAAUUGUCUGAUACAUACUUGAUUUAUAAUUUUUUAUUUUUUUUGGUUCAUAUCUUUUGUAGUUUGAAAUCAUCAAGGGUAUUUGAGAAGUGGGUCUAAUGCCAAAUUGGUUCUGGGUUGCUUCAAUGGGUUGAUGCUUAUUGACAAUGCGCUUGUUCUGGUGGCAACAGUUGCCUCUGCUUAUACUCAUUCAGAUUUUACAACCCAGCAGAACAAGUUACAAAAUAUAUGGUACUCUCUCUCUACUCUCUAGUCUUACUUGUUACAAUGCAAUUCACAAUAAGUAGCAAACUCAUCCUCCAUACUGUUGUUGCUUUGAAUAUGCACAUGGUGAUUGGAAUUGUCUUGUAUUUAGGCUUUGUAGAGCCAAAAAUUUGGAGUUUCCCAGAUUCAAAGGUUCAAAAUAUAUGAGUCUGGUUAGAACACUUGCCAGGUUUUCCUUUUUGAACAUUGUUGGUACAAGAAAAUGUGGGGAUGGAGAUUAAGAGGAUUGUAAGCUGAUCGCUUGUAAAUACGUUCAGCUGUAUAGAAAUUUACUUUUCAAGACCAUAACAGCAGCUCAUAUCAAGCUUAUUUUGUUGCCACAAAUUAUAUGUUUUUGUACAUGUUCAUGAAUGGUAUAGUAAAUGUUCUUACUUAUUAUUCGUUUGGGUUAGUAAAUUUUCUUUCCUUAAUUGUGCUUCUUGUAGCUUGUAGUUUUUUUUUUUUGGAUACAUUAAUAGUGAUUGUAGUUGCUAGAGAAGAAUACUGAUGUUUUAUUCCUUUUACUUUUCCUAUAGCUGAAGCUUUACUGACUUUCAAUAGCAGAGUUGAAAGUCCUGAACUCUCCAGUGGUCAGACUGGAAAAUAUCCAUGUCUAAAACAAUGGACAUUACUGAAAUAUUAUAAACUGCAAGACCCUUGUGUUGUUUCUCUGUAAGAUCUCUCUCUCUCUCUCUCUCUCUCCCUCUCUCUCAUGGUGUUGUAUGUACAUUAAAUAUCAACAUUAUUGGAAUUAAAAACAUAUUACCGACUUCACCUGAUUAGAUGCUAGUGUUAUGAACUGGUUUGAGUUCUUGUGACCUGUAUAUUUUGGUGGUAAUGAUCAAUCAUGUAAUUCUAGGUCUUACUUCAAGAAUCCAUUUUAUGUUUCCUGUUUAACUAGUUACCUCAAACAAGUUUUACGUAGGCUCUAGUGGUCCCAAGUCUGGUGGCUACAUUGUAACAUCGUUUUAGUACAUAUCAAGUUUCUGAUAUCUGCAAAUGAUUACCAAAGAACGAUAUUCAUAUUGGUACAUUUUACUAGGUGUUGAAGUGAAAUACAAGUAGCUUAUAUUCAUAGCAAUGUUUUAAUCAAUUUUGGUUUUAUUUUUUAUUUUGACUUGGUUCAUCUUUUUCAUCACUCAGCAGCAAAUUUCCUGGUAUCUCUUCAAUUCCCCUGCGGCCUAGCAGAGUCAGCUUAGCACCAUUUGCUCCAAGACAUUUCGUGACACAGUCUUCAAUCAAUGUACAAAAAGAGAUCCAUAAACCCAGAAACAGAAGGAUAGCACACAUAGUUGAUGGGGACAGAAGUGUUCCAACACUCACACCUGUACAAGCAGCUGGUGACAAGAAACCAAAAAAGAAAGUUGCAGCCAUCAUUGGUGGAGUUGCUGCUGCUUUGCUUGUGGUUAUUGUAGUGAUACUUGUUUACAUCUAUUUAAUGCGUGUCAAAAGAGUGGUGAGGAGAACAUCUGAUACAUCAUCUUCUACACCAUCCCCCCAUGGUAAGUUAGCUAUGGGGACACUUUUCUUCUGCAUUCGUUUCUAAGUUGUACAUUCCAAACUGUUAAGGCUGUGAUAUGGCUAGCUGUGUAGUUAAGUAAAUAAGUUUCUUCUAUCUUUUCACUUCUUUCAGUUGAAUGGACAAGAGGGGACACAUCCCCCUACGCGGUUGCUCUAUCUCCAUAUGACACACACAACUUGAGGCAACUGACAAUAUUGGAACUGGAGCAAGCUACUAGCAAUUUCAAUGAAAACAAUAUCAUAGGCCAAGGCAGAUUUGGUUUGGUCUACAAGGGAUUACUCCAAGAUGGAACUAUUGUGGCUAUCAAGAGACGCCUACAUGCUCCAACUCAGUAUUUCUUUCAAGAGGUAAACAAGUUAGCAAUCAUUUCUUCUCCACUCAACCUUGACUUUCUUUGUGAGGUAGUGUCUAGACCCUCUUUUGAUGGAACUUCUUAGUAUCUUGAUUUGUCUUGAUCAAAUAUAGGUGAAGCACAUAGCUCGUGUGAACCACGUGCAUAUUCUCAGGCUCAUUGGUUAUUGUCAGGAUUCAAGUCAACAGUUACUUGUCUAUGACUAUCUUCCAAAUGGAAAUGUCGGGAAUCAUCUAUAUGGUACUCUCUCACUCACUAACUUACUCAUUCACUUAGCACAUGAUUCUCUAUCUCUAUCAUUCCAUCUAACCACAUUGUUAUGCAGAUGCUGAAGGUUUACCUAUUGGAAAGUUGAAUUUACGGCAAAGGUUAUCGGUUGCUUUGGGAGCAGCCAAAGGUACAUCAGCUAGUUCAACUUCUAGUGCAAGCCUUAAUUUAUGUUCUUCAUAAAUAUAUUACUUUUAUUUUGGACCAGGACUUGCACAUCUUCAUAGUUUGGUACCUCCCCUCCUGCACAUGAAUUUCAGGACAAGCAAUGUUCUUUUGGAUGAUAACUUUACAGCCAAGGUGUCCGAUUAUGGACUAACCAGACUGCUCAAUAAGGCUCCCUAUACCGGAUCAUCUUCAGCCAUAGACUGCUUUCUUGACCCAGAGUAUGUAAUCUCUCUUCAGUCCACUAAAUUAUUAUGUGAGCUACAAGAUAGAAUGCAGAUAGCAUCUCUUGGUCUCUGUCAGGCUAAAUUAUAUUACCAGAUCACAUAAUGUGUCAGAAUGACAUAUGCAAGGAAAACAAGAGUAAGAGUCCUCCACUAGUUAACUCACCGAAGAUUCUUGCAGGUCAUUUUUGCAUGCCAAGUGAUUUGUUUAGUGAAAUUAGCACCUAAUAUUGAUGUUGAUCACUUUACUGGAAGUCACCUAAUGCAUACCUCUAAUACUGAUACUACAGAAAGUCAUUUCGCGUAGGUUUUACCUUUUUCUUUUUGUAAAUUUAAACAUCUGUAACAGAGCAUAGAUGGAGUUCAACAAUGUAACUUGAUUGCCACUCUGUUGAUCUCAUGCUGUCAGCCCUUGAUUUUAUUUUGCUAUUAUAUAAGGCUAAGUUUCAGUCCAACAUUGAAUAGCUGUGACAUUCUUAGUGCCUUGUAACCAAAGUUGCUUUGAGUUUUGUUGAAUAUCCAUCUGUGAAAAGAAAUCUGCAGGGUUUAAGCAACAGCUUAAUUUGGUACUGAUGUCUAAUCUAAUCCUUUUUCCUAAAGGUUAGAUUCAUUGAACAAAUUUUCAGAAAGAGGUGAUGUGUACAGUUUUGGUGUCUUCUUACUGGAAUUGAUCAGUGGAUGUGAAGCAAAUGGCAGAUACCAGUUGAAUUCGGGGGAUAAUCUCGUAUUGCAGGUACGCAAGUCUUUUCAUAAAAGCCAUUAUUAGUGGCAACUUUAUAUCUCAGACUCUCAGUUUAUGCAUAUACUACUGGUUGCAACCUUUGUUCAGUUGUGAAAUUCGCAUAUGUACUAUUAAUGUGAAAAAGAGUAACUAGGUGAAGUACAUCUAUACUUGUACUUGUUUCAAAGCUUUCGGUUCUUACAAGAUUGUGUAUUAAUUUGAAGGCAAAGGAUUGUGAGGAUUUGGAGAGAUUUGUUGAUAAAACAUUAGGAGAAUAUUCAAUGCAAGCUGCAACAAAACAGAUGAUGGAGUUAGCAUUGAUGUGUAUAGAUGCUAGUGAACAAAGACCACACAUGAAGAUUGUUGUUCAAGAGCUCGAACGGAUUCAAGCAAGAGAAACUAGCCAUUUUCAAAUUGAAGUUGAUGAAGAAAUAGGUGCUGUAACUCUUGGCAGUGAACUUUUCAAAUGAUGCCUUCUGCUGUAACAGUCAUCUUUGCAUUUGCAUUCCAUUACAGAUUUGAUUGGUUUGUGAUUAGUACAGAAGAGAAAUAGAAUAUAUCAAAGCAUUCUUGAAGUAUAUAAAUCUAAUGAAAAUGGUACAGAUUGAUGGGACUAUCUGCCUCUGCUAUUUAACAAAGUCUCUUUCUGGGUUAAUGGUUAAUGUACAUGUUUAGCCCAAUUUCUGAAAGCUGUAAAUAUGCAGAGAAAGAAAGAAAAAACCAAGAAGUUUUUGGUUCUUACAAGCUGUAGUUGUAUAUUUCAAAUUAAAAAGAAAAAAAAAAGAAAAAAAAAAAGCUGUAAUUGUAGUAGUGUGAUACCUCUUAGCACUGUGCCGGGACCAGCUAAUAAUUCCUCUAGUACGAUGAGUUCGAUGAUAAGAUGCGUCAACAAGGCAAAAAACAAAAUACAAAAACUGCAUCAAAAAGAUACAUGCAUGAAAAUUAUUUUAUAGUAAAACUUGUAAUGAAAUAGUGUGAUAAAUGCAAUCUAAUCGUCUAUUCAUGUUGGUUUAAAUGCACUUUGCUGUGAACAUCUCUAGUCGGUCUUCCUCCAAUCUAAAUGCGCCUCCAUCAUUUUCUCUUCCUCUUUCUCGUACUCUUAAUUUCAUCUUUUGUUCUAAUUUCGUGAUCAAAUUUUAGAAAGCACGCCCUCCCACUUACAAAGGAGAGUCUACCUUGUGAUUCUUUUUCUGUGCAUGCAUACAGAAAAAAAAAUAUAUACAUUAAUGAAUAUAUUUUGGUGGAGAUAGUUUUUAUCCUUAACUGGAUUUUCUUCUCAUCAGCCAGUUCAUUAUUAAUGAACCGUGUCGCUUUCAUAUGUUCUGAGUUAGAAAAACAAGGCUGCAUUUUCUGCAUUUGCAAAAUACAUCUCCCACCUCAUUACUCAUUAGUUAUUCAAUAAUAUAGAACAAUGACAUUGUUUAUGAAAACAUAUAUAGUUCAACAUAUAGCUGGUCCAACAGCUACUGCUCAGCAAUUAUUCGUUCUCCCAAAGUUCAAGUUCUUCAACCAUAACAAUAUCAUUCUUCGAGGUAUUCUUCCAAGAUCAAUGACGAAGCAGCUUCGCUCCAAGAGCGGCAAACACUUCCACAGCGAAUGACAUCCUUGACACUUAAGUGAACAAAUAUCUGUGAAAUGAAAUCUUUCUCUAGCUUUACCCAAUUUCGGAACUUGGAGUUGUUAUUCGUCAUCGUAACAAAGGUACUUUUCCCUGCAACCAUCAUAGAUCAAAACCAGGUACUGUAUAAUAGUAUCAGAUUAAAUUAAGCAUUGAAUCGAAAACUCUAGUAAGUGACCAUUUUCUUCCAUAAUAUUAUACAAAUUAAGAGAACAAAUAGCAAAUAGUGAACCUCAUUUUGUUAGAUACUCUAGUAGUGAACUGACUGAACUCGAUCUUAAAACAGAAAAUUGACAAGAUUAGACGAUUUGAGUCAUGUCUAUCACUUCACGCAUGCCUUAGGUGAUAAACAAAUUCCAGACAACUUAACAGAUGUCCACUAUUUGAGUAUGUAGGAUACAGACUCACACACAACAUUUCAGAUGAAUGCUGAAACCUAUGAAUAACCUUCACUACAUGAUAAAUGAUAUAUAUGCAACAAAAUCUCAUGAGCAAUAAGGUAAGUCAAACUACUUGACUGUUUCAUCUAGUACCGCUUAUAAUUUACAUCUGCUAAACCACAAACAAUUUAAAGUCAAGGAGGCAAACUUAACAAGGGAGACUGCAUUUGCAUACACAAAAGGGUGAUCAAAACAAUAAAAGAAGAAGGCAGUAGUGGUUCUUUCUAGGUAAUUAUGUUAACUAUUUUUUCUGAAAGAAGAAACGAAUAAUAUAAAUAGGGUCACAGUAGUACUGAUGUUACAUAGCGCUUCCAAGCGUAAAUCUUUACUUUCAAGAACUCCAAAAUAGAAAACUUUUCUUGCUUCUAAUUUCAAUGACAAAAAGAUAGAUCAUGGUUCCCCUUCAAGCAAAGAGAUCACCGCCUAGUAGGAAACAAGAUUAACAUAAGAAGUGAAGUACAUAAGAAGGUAAUUUGCAGAACAAAACCAUAAAAGUACUCAAUCCAUAAUGGAUACAUUAUUCACUUUUACAGAAACAUAUAAGCUUCGAGAAUAUACUACAUCUGUUCCCUACGCAGUAUUGAUGCAUCAAGUAUAUAAGCUUUUCUGCAUCAAGUAUGAACUCACAAAAGUCCAUAACGGAAAGUUUAUUCAGUUAAACAACAGUGAAGCAUUGAAAGCGAAAUCGAAAUAUUAAUGAUGGUUCAUGAACAUAAUUUAUUAUGAUUUGAGAACAUUCUAAGAAAUUCGACAAAUAACUGGAAUUAAAUAUAUAAAAAAAAGAACAUUUGCGCUGUAUUAAAUGUUAGAAUCUUUUAGAAAAUUCCUGCUAUUUCUUCACAGAAGAAUAUAAUGGUUAUAUUUAAGUUGAUCCUGUCCUGACAUGAUAACAGCAUGUUGUUCUUCAUCACGAGUCAAAUAUAAUCAGAUGAUGGUACGAGAAUUAGAAACCAGAAUAAUCUCACUGAAAUCACUCAUGUCGAAAGCAGUUUAUUGGAAUAUGAGGAUCCUUGAUUAAUUUCCAAUUAAUCCACUUCAUGUUCAAAACAUGAUUGUGGGUAUAUUGGCUAUUCCUAUUCAACACAAGAUUUCCAAAAUACAAUAGGACUAAAGUGACAAGGUGACAUGAUUCGGAUUGAAUGUAAUUGAAGUUUUGCAUGAUCAGAGGUAUCAAACUUGAAAUCAGAAAUGCCUCUACAAGGUAACAGAUUUAAGCAUCUUGUUUAUGGUAAGUUGAUCCUUUCUCUGACCAAAUUAAGUAAGUAUCUUAAUGCUUGAUUUCUAAAUCAGAAUAGAAGAUAUUUUGGUUGAUAGGCAUUAAUUGAUCUCGCAAGAUUACAUGCAAGUCUAUGGUCUCAACAUGCGAGUCUUUAUUACAGUUAAAAUGAUGGAAGAUAACUGUGUGAAUGCUUGAUAAUAGCUGGUUGUAAUUGGAAUGUAAAUGUCAAUUAUCUGAUUGCAGGUUUCAAGCAAGCAUUAAUUUGUGCAAAGAUAUAAAUGUGAAAAUGUCUAAUUGCAGGUUUAAAAGCAAGAAUCAAUUUGAUAUUUUUGGAAAGUGCAAGGUGAUGGUUGGCAGAUUGCAUGAUUUCCAAAAUACAAAUUAAUUCUGUCAUUGAGUGCAUUAGUUGAGGGGGAGAAUUUCAUUCUCCAUAAAUAGCUACCGCUGAAGAUUGAAAGUUUCAAGCUUUUUGAACAUUAGGAAAAGGCCUUCAUAGUAUUGCCUCUGAGUCAAAAUAUUUCAUGAUAAUGUUCAUAGCGUGUUGAGAGAUUGAUAACUGAUUGACUGCUUCUCUUAUUUGCAUUGUCAGAUUGCACUUGAGAUUGGUGAUGCAUUAGUGAUCAAGGGAGAUAGAAGCAAAGAGUCACAACUAGUUAUGUUGAAGAACCAGCUCACAGUCUGAUAGUGAUAUAGUAUCAGCAAGCAUGAUUCAGUCUCUCGUGUGUGGAGAUCAUUUGAAGUGUGUGGAUCUGAAGAGAAGAAUUCUUGGUUGUGUUUAAGAACCAAGUGAUCUGGUUGUGUUGUAGAACCAGAAAAGAAAUCUGAUAGUGUUGAAGUAUCAGUUACUGGAUCUCAGUUUCUCUUGUGUAGAGUUACAUGAAUCUAUUCUCUUGUGUAGAGUGAGUGGUUGUGUUGAAGAACCAAGUAACCUGGUUGUGUUGAAGAACCAAGGAAUACUGAUUGUGUUAAGAAUCAGUAAACAAGAACUAAGAGUGUUUAAGUCUUAGUGUGGAACUAGUUGUGUUUAAGAACUAGUUGAACUGAAAGUGAUGUAGUCUCAAUACUCUAGAUUCAUUUUCUCUUUGUAGAGUUACAUAAAUUAGAGUCAUUUGUGUUGAGAUAGAGAAUUGUAACCAGAAGUGAGACUUGUGGUGUUAUAGUUGUGUGAGAACUAUACCUCUUGUAAACUUUGAUUUGAAGAUUGAAGUAAUAAUCUUGCUUAGUGCUUUUUCCCACAUUGAGGUUUUGCACCAAACCAUUUGAAAUAUAUUGUGUUGAUUAUCUUUGCCUACUUAAUCCAUUUUAGUUUCUACAAUGAUUUUUGAGAAAAUAGUAAGAACUACGGUAAACAUGCAUUUCACAGCAAUAUGUGAAUGAUCAAUGAUGUGAUACUUGUAUGAAGCAUUUUAAAAUACUUUUUAGAGCAUAUGCUUUUUCAAUGUCUAGUCGAAGAGUACCUCAUGCAUUACUGAAUUUAUUAAAUUUGAGUCAAGUUGUUGGAAAAAAAUUGUCAUAUAUCUGUGAGAUUCUAUUAUAAUCCUGAUAAUCUGAUAUGAAACCUUAAAUCUAGAAAAGUUUUUUUUUUUCUCAAAAAGAAUCUCAUGUAUUUGACAAUUAAUAAGAGUUGCGUGUUGAUUGUUUGCUUACCAAAGUUUCAGAACCUAAUAUGUCAGUGAAGCUUUUUAAAGAGAAGAACCACCCAUCAACAACAUCAUUCUUAUUAAAACAUCCAUCCUCUUCAAGAAAUCAAGGCCAAACCAACCCAAAUAAAUUUGUAUGGUAUAAAAAAGAAAUAUAAAACAAAAGAAAGCACACCAUUAACAGUUUACUCAGAUCUCACAUAAGAAACCAGCAAAUCAAGUAUAAUCAACAAAAAUAUAUCUGUAUCAAAUUCCACUUUUUUGAGCUUGAAUCCCAAAGUAAGGUAAAAGAAAGGUUACCUUCUCUUAGAUGUGUUUGGUGCUUUUAGUCUCUUAGGAGGUGUUUGGUAACACGGACAAGAUAGGAUUUCAAAUCCUAUCCUGAUAACACUUGACUAGAUUAGAUUUAAGAUAUCCAUCUCCUUUUCCUUUAUCAUGUUUGUUAAAUAAGAUUGAAAAUUAGAUAAGUAAAGGUUUUUAAAAAAGAAAAAAAUGAAUUGAGCUCGUGGCUCUAUAGAAAAUGUCCACCUCCGAAACGACGCCGUAUUGCCUCCGACGACGACGCCGCCGUUCUCCGCUGUCCGGCCACGCCUGUGCGCUAGAUCGGUCGCGUUUUGAUCGUCUCCUCCAACCCGUCAUGCCUGUGGUGGUAAAUCGGAAUGCAUCAGUGAAAGUAAAGGUUUCUAUUUUCUGGGCAGUUAUGCUCCGGCGAGCUAGGGUUUCCGGCGACGCUUCGGGCUGCUUUAGGACAACUCUUUAGAGGUAUCUGGGUUGAGAACGACUCCAUUGUUCAUCCGAAAUCGACUGGGUAAGCUACUCCUGCGUCGAUCGAUCCGAAGAACUCUAGAAGAAGAAACCCAGAUCCAUCUACAGUUCCUUAGAAAUAGAUCCAAAUCAUCCAAUCUCACCCUGCCCUUUUGUUUUUCUUCUUCGGCAGCAUGUUCUUGAGGAUGAGGGCGGCAGAGGUAGACGAGGGAGCCGCCGACGCGCUGGGCGUAGCGUUCUUGAGGACGCAGACGACUCGGCCGGUCUAAGAGGUUGUGAGUUGUGACGGCUGCGGUGGUGAGGGUGAUGAAAAAAUGGAGAUUUGAUGAGAAGCGUCGUUCGUUUGUUUCCGUCAUAUCCAUAUGGAUAAGAAUAAUAACACCUUCCCAGCAGGAUUUUAAAUCAAGGUUUGACAAGAUUAAAAAUUUCUGCUUACUUAAUAUCUGAAUGUCUAAACACAACUCCUAAUCAGAUUGGCAAGAAUAAAUCUUGUCAGGGGACCAUAUCCUGGUAAACAAACACCCCCUUACAGUUUGAGAUAACUCAGAAAUGAACCAGCUGAUCUGUAUAUAGGGGGCAGUCAGCUAAUGAAUUUACAGGAAGAACCUCAUCCAUCUGUAACAGCACACCAACCAUGCUAUAAAACCUUGAGAAAGAACCAACAGGAAUAUGCCAAUUCAACAUCUAAGGUUGUUUCAGUAACCUCUAACUGGAAAAAUAAAAAAAUUGGUUUCAAAGUGUCAUUCAACCCUGGAUGAUAUUUAACAGGAUUAAAAGAAAAAGGAAACUCCAUAAAUGUAAUCUCACAAACAUGCACGAAAACAAUUUAAAAGAGAGCGCAAUUUAAUCAACAUGCAUGUGUCUAUGAGCAUUGAGUGUACGAAUUCUGCAGUAGAUUUUCAUCGGAUUGGAUAUGUUUUCUUUCCAGUUCAGCAACAAUUGUCAUUUUUGUUAAUCAAAUUCAAAUUCAUUUCCUUUUAAUAUGAGCUAAUAACAGAUACGAUAUUGGGUCAAAUUAGUUAUUUUCCUAAAAUGGAUUCUCAUUCUCAUCUCUUGCUGCUGUAUUGUCUUUAAAAUGUUUUCUCUGUACGUGGAUAUAGCUGUUCUUCGCACUACAUUCCUCUUCUUAAUCAAGCGUGUUAGUGGUUUUUCUACUUAAAUUUUCUACGUCAAGUAAUGAUCAUCUAUGACCUACUUCUAUGGAACUAUGGAAGGUUUAAUUCAUAGAACAUAUCAGUUUUCUGCAAAUCCCAGAUUGUCUAUGAGGUCAAAGAACAAUAACUACGAAGAGAUUGUCGGUCUAGCUAGUCAAGGAAUUAAUUCUUAAUAUCCUAGAAUAAGAAAAGAAGCCUUUACAGAAAAUAUUUAACUUCACUUUAUAAAUCGGAAUCUGCAACAUGAAAGGAAAUUGUCUAUUAAAGAAAAUUUACAUCAUAGCAUGCACAACACCUACAGCUGAGAAAUUAUACUAACAAGGUCAGCAAUAACGACAAUGUGCCCCGUGACAUGUUAUCUCCUUAUCUAACUGGAUCAAUGGGCAAGGGUACUCACCUCAUCCUUAAAAAUGCCUUUAUCAUAUCGAGAACAGAGCCAAAUAUCCAUCUGAAUUAAUCUGAAAGGGCAAACUUGGGAGUAGCCCGUCUGACAAAAUAGAAACUUCUUUAGCCGUGAAGCCUCUUGAAGGAAUCACUCAUCAAGUUGGGAGAGCGCAGACAAAUAUCCGGGGAUCGGAGAUUAGUCCAAUAUGAGGUAGUGACAUGUAACUCUUCUAACUGCCGUGUUUCUCUGAGCAAGUGAUGUAUAACAUCCUUGUGCACCAUGUUGCACUCAAUACUUAAGACCUUCAAACUUGUAGCAUAUGCAAGAAUAUUCUCAACACAAUCCAUACCAAACGGGCACAGCAUAUUCAGCUCGCUGAGGUUCUUGCAGUGCUGACUAAUUGCCUUCAUGAAUUUAAUAGAAAAACUACCUAUAAUUGUCACAUCCCGACCCUUAUAUUUUUACCUUAUUUACUAGCUUAAUUAUAAUAAGAAUUUUACCGUCCCCAUCAUUAAGUUAAUAGUUUAAUUGGUCUCUAGAGGUAUUUUAAGGGACGAUUAAUUUCGGGGAAUUGUUCGUGGGAGAAAAUAUGACGACGGUAAAAAUGGUAAAUUUUUAUUCGGGUAUUAUUUUUCGGGGUGUUUUAUUUCGGAUUUGGGUGGUAUAAGAAGGUUGGACCGGGCCAAAGGGUGGUCAAGCCUAGCCCUCUUUUCUCUCUCUCUCCCUCCCGGUUUUCCCGCACCCGAACUCCCUCCCGCAGCCGAUCUUUCUGUCGCCGGCCAGCCGCCGUCCGGCCACCAACCGCCGCCGCACCGGUCCCGUUCGGUUGGCCAUCAACCCAGCAACCUUCUUGGACCGGUGACAGCUCCCCUAGCGUCGCCGUGAGGAAGAUAUCGGGCCCGAGAGGUCCGACUGUGUUAGGUUUCACGUCGCCGGAACUCCCUCCUCCGGCCACCAAUCCGGGCAAGCUUGGUACGGUUUUGUAGCCCUCCAACCCAGCAGCCUUGCCCUAAAAGGACUCACUCCCUCUUGAGCUAGGUAAGGAGAAAUUUGAGGUGGAAGUUUUAUGGCGUUUUUGAUGUUUUUAGUCGAUUACCCUAGUUAGGCUUGGAAUUAGUGUUUGUGCUAGUUAGGAAAGUUGUAGAGCAUGAUGAGAGGAUUAUUCUGUCAAAAUUUCAUAGGUUUUUGAGGUCGCCGGAAUUGGCCUCCGGCCGCCGCUGCCGGCGGAGCCGCCGCGGUUUGGGAGAUUUUUAGGGUUUUAAAUGUGGAAUAUUAAGGGGAUUAUAUUGAUGUGAUUUAUGGAAUUUUUGGAUGAGAUUUGAAUAGGUUUGUGAAUUUCCGAAGUUUGGUAUUUUUGGCGGUUAAUUAAUGUAGAAUCUGGCCGUAGGAUUUAAGUCGUAUUUUGGGGAGGUUGUAGUUACGACUGUCGAGUAUGAUAUUUUAGUUCGGAUCGUUUCGAUUUAAGAAUAUCGAAGUUAGGUAAUGAUGAGCGUAUUUAUGGCUCUCGGGUAAUUUUGCCUAUUUUGAUUAAAUAUUGGAUUAUUAGUUGGGAAAUUAAUAUUAUAUUUGGAACAGGACGUGAGGAGGCUCGAGCAGACGAGGCCCCAGAUCGACAUCAGGCUUAGGCCUAAUUUGUGAGUGGACUUUUGUUUUAAAUAAAAUGCAUGCUAGAGUUCUUGAUUGAACAAUAUUUGUUGCGGAAUAUUUUGACGUCAUUUUAAUUUGACGAAUUUUAUUUCUCUUGGAGAGUGACCGAAAAUGGGUUUUCGGUGGAUAUAAAUAUGUAUUUAUGAGAGAGUAUGUAUAUAAAAUGUUAGCUAGCCAUAUGUGUCUGUCCACCUUAAUGGCGUAGCAUAUAGCCGCAUUAUGGUGUGACGUGAGCGUUGGACGUGAGCGUAGUAGCCCUAUUUGAGUGUUUAAUUCAUAUAGGGGGUAUGGACACAUAUUUAUACACCCGUCUGUCCACCUUAAUGGCGUAGUGUAGCACCGCAUUAAGGCGUGACGUGAGCGUUGGACGCGAGCGUAGUAGCCCUAUAUAGACCCAUGAAUUUAUAUAGGGAGUAUGGACGAGUGUAAAUACAUACAUAUAUUAUAGAGUCUGAGAGGCUCGAUAUUUUAUGAGAUAAAAGUUUUAUCGCUUGCGGCAUGCAUUCGAUUUUUCCUUAGAAAUUAAUUUGGGGAAACAUAAAUAUUUUAUUUUAUUAUUUUAUUUUUGUCCACUCACUUUAACGUUAUUAAAUGUUUUCCCCUGGGCCCUUCGUUUUAAAUUGCCCAGUCUGCAGAGUUCGGGUUGGAUCUAGUAGGAGGCGUGGCAUAGUCACCCACAUUUCCGCCAGUUUUCAUCAGUAGGUUACAUGUUUAACCUACUCGUGUUUUCUUACUUCCGUUAGUGUCUAGUAGCUCUGAAUACUUUGGGAUUAUUGUAUAUUACGUUUAGAAUUUCUGAAGGAUAAUUAUGUGAUGUUUGGACGUGUUGUAUUAAGAGUGUAAUUUGGAAUUUUCGAGUUAAGGUUGUCCAUUUUCAAGGGAGAUUUUCUCAAUCUUUUCAGUAAAUUUUCCUUGGAGGUGGUCCCCGCACGACUUACUCCGGGUUUCAGGGUGAAAUUCGGGGUGGGUCGUGUCAAUAAUAGUCAAUGACUCAAGCUUUGGCCAUUUCUUUGUAGACUUGUAAAUAGACCGGAUCUUAAUUCGGGGACCCGCUCCGGAUAAAUGGUUUUUAAACGGGUUUGAAUCGAAAAUUUGAUUCGUGGAUCCGUUAACCCGUUUACUGAACGGAUUGAAUACGGAUCGAGGUUGAUCCGAUCCGUUAAGAACCUGGAUCCGUUUUAAAAUAAUUAAAUAAUAUUUUUAUAAAUAUAAUAUUACUGAUAAAUAUUAAAUAAUAUAAUAUUUAUUUAGAUAACCUAAACGUCUAAAUUGCGUCUAAAGUAUGAUUUGAUAAAGUUGAAGAUUACUGAUGCCUAUAUUUUUUUUUAUGCAUUUUGCUAAAAACAUUGGAGGUUUAGUAUUUUGGUUAUAUUAUAGUUUAUUGUUAAGGAGUAUUUUGGCCAUGUAAUUUAACUUUUGAUGUAAACCUUUAUUUUGUUAUAAUAUUUCAUUAGUGUUUUAUGAAAACUUAUGAUAAAAUUAAGAUUAUAAAUGGAUCGGAUUAACGGGUCGGAUAUCCGUUAACCCGCCGGAUCCAGAUUUGGAUCGAGCUAUCAAUAUUCUGACGGGUAACGGGUCGGAUCCAGAUCUAGGUCGAUCCGCUCCAGAUCCGGCCCAUUUACAGAUCUAGUUCUUUGCAGCUUCUUCAGAAUCAUUAACUAGUAUAAAUUUGUCCUGCACUGAUAGAACAAGGAUCUUUUGAGAUUUGGGGUUCUGUAAAAGAGAGAACUAGUCAAUUUACGUUUCAUCAAAUAACCUCUAUAGAACAUUUUGGGAAGUAUGAACAUUGACCUUUUAGAAAUAAGAAACAAGUGCGGACUUGUUAUCCGAGAGUAGGCGUGGAAGAUCAAGCAAGAUAUAGAUCCACCACAUAAUCUGGAACCGCUAUUGACAAUAUUCAUAAUCAUCUGGCUAGACUGCUCGCAUUGUCGAUUGAAUCGAAGAUCUUGAUUUCCAGCUUACUCAAGUCAACUACCUCCCAGAGGCAGGGUUCGGAAGCUGCUUCCCGCCAAGAUUUGCAAACAAAUGCCCCACGUAUUAAUUCCACAACAUUAAAUGUCAUGAAUAUACGUAUGAGUAUAUCCUUAUCCAUGUCUGCCCAUCUUUCAAAUCCUGAGUUUUUGUUUGUCGUCAUACUAGAAAAGAAGUGGCUGAAACCAUCAAUCAGAAGAAGAUACUGUGUAUAAGUGUAAAGAAUCAAUGAUUAAACUCAACCAUUGUUAAAGGAAGAAAAUAUGUUGCUGAUAUAUUGCUGAUUCGUUGCUGACGUGAUUGAUAGAUAGAUAGUCACUAUUGUGAUUAUAGGAGUGAAUGUAGGAUCUGGUUUAUUUGUAUUUAUUCCUUACCUAGAAUAACUUCUGGAACUUGUAUAUUAUAGCAUAGCUUUGUACGAUUGAGACUAUCUAAUAUACACUCAUUCACAUAUCAAUUUGUUUAUGGUAUCAGAGCACCGAUUCUGGUGUCUCUAACCCACUACUUCCGCUACAAACAACCCACUACUUUUGCCACAAACAAACACAAACAUCAUGGCUGAGGUCAUUGAAACCCCAGAACCACAAAACACCGAACUCAUUCCUUCAUCUAAAGACAAAGAUGUGAAUGAUUUUGACACACCCAACCCUUUGACCUUACACCCAUCUGAUACCACUACCAGGACAAGUACUUUAGCCGACGAAAUAUUUUCGUCGGCCUGUUAUCCUAAUUCGUCGGCUAAGACCUUAGCCGACGAAGGCUCGUCGGCUAUAGUGUCGUCGGGAAAGGGUCGUCGGUGAUGGCUUUAGCCGACGAAUCUAAAGACCAUCGUCGGCUAUUGUUCCAGACUUUAGCCGACGAACUAUUUUUCGUCGGCUAUUGUUCCAGCCUUUAGCCGACGAACAGUAUAUUCGUCGGCUUUACUGACAAACUUUAGCCGACGAAUAUCUCUGUUUCGUCGGUUAAAGUAUAUAAUUAAAAUAUUUAAAAAUAACUAUAGCCGACGACAUAGAGUCUGUUUCGUCGGCUUUAGUGGUGUUUAGCCGACGAAACAUACCAUAAUUCCGUCGGCUAAACCCUUUGGAAAAAAAAAAUUACUAUAGCCGACGAAUUGUGGCAUGUUUCGUUCGGCUAUNNNNNNNNNNNNNNNNNNNNNNNNNNNNNNNNNNNNNNNNNNNNNNNNNNNNNNNNNNNNNNNNNNNNNNNNNNNNNNNNNNNNNNNNNNNNNNNNNNNNAGGUUUUUGACGAGGCAACAGAUCAGCACCAUCGGCAUAUCAGCGCGCGGCACAAGGGGGAGUGUUCUAGGAUAUCUCUACUGUGUGCCUUGGCCUUAUGCCAAUAGGAUAUGUAGUUAGACUAGAUCUAUGUAUUCAUAUCCUUACCAUAUUGGUAUUGUGUAAUUCCCUAUAUAAAGGGCUCCUAUCAAUGAAUAAGAUGACUCUCUUGCUAUCUCUUUGUCUCUACACUUUAUUCUUCAUCACGAUCGUUAUUAUUCUUAUAUAUGUAAGUGAGAAUUGAACAUAUGAACUCAAAUUUGUCAAUUAAACUACCUAACUAAACAGCACACGGCUCACUGACCGUAGACAACAACUCGGUGUGACAUUUAUAAUUCAACAAGAAAUUUUGACUAUUUAUCUAUGUAUGUUAGAUCAAAUAUAGGGAAUGAGGUACAUUUUUUCAUGUCACUGUGAUGCAUUCUUUUUAGCUUCUACAUGAUGUUACCUUUCUUCCAUGUAAAUUUAUCUUUCUCAGAUGUAAGUCAUAAAUAUCUCAUUUUGUGACGACUUUGUUGAACGCCUUUAUCUUUGAGUCAGUUUUUUCAACCCGUCACAAAUUAAAGUCUGAUAAAAUUAUAAAUCACCACUGACUACCUAUCCACAAUGGAGCUUGAAUUCCAUGAAUUGGUGGGGGAAGAAUAGUUACCUUAUGGGUUAUGCACAAACAACUCCACAGGAAUCGAUGUGAAAUGAAGGAAAAAUUUCAAUUGUACCAAGGAUUCAUGUCAUUCAUCUUUAGCUAGCUAGUCGCAUUUAGAUUUAGAGUAACCAAAACUGAGCAUGAUCCUCAGUUUGAGUUUUCCAAGCAGUGGUAAGGAUUCCUUUUUUAUGUAGCAUGUCUAGAGAAGCACUCUAGAAUUUGGAAGUAACAAACUAUCAACAGAUUGGUAUUAAACCAAUAGUUUGUUUCAAACUAUUAUACAAGUGAAGACUAGAGAUGAACAAAAAUGCAAGAUUGCAAGUAAAUUCUCUCACACUUGGUUAAGUAUUACAUUUUACAUGGUUUCUAGUGCUAGAUUACUGAUCAUUUUAACAAAGGGCACAGGACACUUGGAAACAAUAUCGAACCUAGACGGAAAUGAGGCAUGGCCAAACAGAGAUAAACUCAACAAGGCAAGCUCUCUAAGAGACAACCUUGAGGAGAGGAAUCCUUGCCAGUAAUAAGGAUCCAAGUCAAAGAAAGCAUCAAAAAACCUUCUACUUCCAUUAAGAUCAAGCUUCAACAAAGUUUCCAUCCCAAAAGAGUAAUAUUGCCUUACACAUCUCCUCUCAGUUGUCCACAAACCAUUCCACGCUCGUUCAUGAAGCGAUUUCCCUCGGAUCAUUCGAGUUGAACCAAGGCACUCUGCAAUGGCCUCAGCUAGUACCGGUGCUAGAGCCAUUGUCCGAGCCACCAUGUAACCAGUUGAAGGGUGGACAAUCCCAGAAGUCCCUCCAAUUGCCAUAACGCUUUGAGGUAUCCGAGGGAGCGGGCCUCCCAUUGGAACCACACACUUCUCAACCUCCAAUAUCCUCUUCACUCGAAUCCCCAAAUGCCUUAGCCUUGCCACCAUUCUUUUCUUGAUCUCCAUGUAAGAUAAAACCGGCCUACUAACCAGUGAAGUCUCUUCCAAAAAUACCAAGUUGGAAUCAAAUGGCAUUGCAUACAGAAAAGCAGGGAACCUAGAAUUACCAGUACGCAAGUAAGGUUCAUUCCCUAGAUGAGAAUCCCUCCAAUCCAUAAGAACCAUCUUAUCCAAGUCAAAGGGGUGACCUUCCACUUCAGCCAAAAUACCAUGAGCAAUCUGAUACCCAUGAUUCCUUGGCUUAUCAUACUCUAUGAAACUACUUGCAAAACCACUAGCAUCAACAACUAAGCUUGCCUUCAACUCAUUCCCAUCAUCACACACAAUCAAAGACUCAAACUCUUUGUGCUCAAUUUUCCAAACCUUGGCCUUGUGAAAUUUGACUCCAUUGGAGAGACACCUCUCCAUCAACAAUUUCUUGAGCUUCUUUCUACUGACCCGACCAUAAGGACGGUCUAAAUACUUGGUCUUAUUAUCAUCAAUAUGAACACAAGCCAUAGGCCAUGUUUUGUCUAAACAACUUUCAAGCUCCAAGCUCUCAAACUCAUCAACCCAUACACCAUAGUUAUUUGGCCACAUAGAAAGAGGUGAAGGAUCAACACAACAUACCUUGAUGCCAUACUGUGACACUUGCUCAGCUAAACGAAGACCAGCAGGCCCUGUGCCGAUGAUGAUCACAUCCACUCGAGACCGGCUACUCGGGUCCAACCGGGGCAGAUCAAAAUCCAACACUUCAGGUGUUGACUCUGGUUUCAAGUCCAGGAAAUUCCCAUACUUGCUGCUUUGGACUCUGGAAAAUCUCUUUCCUGUGUAAUGGGGUUUGGGGAAAGAGCAUGGAGGGCUGGAUGCAUGGAAGAGUUGACUGAUCUUGGUUGGUAGUAGCAGUGGUGGUGGUGGUGGAAACAAUCUGACGAGGGUGUCCAUCAUAGAGUGGGAUGAAGAUGACAGAGAAGAGGGACAGAGGUUAUAUAAUAGAAGAAGAAUGGGAGAUAGAGACAGAAUGGGAAUCUAAAGCAGUAGUAUGAAAGUGAUGCUUUUCUAAAACUUGGGUAGAGCAGCAUUUGUGUGGGGUAAACGUGCUGCAGGCCAUUUGUCGGGCAUUUAGACAUGCAUGAAACUCCACCCACAUGCGUUACUGAAACAAUUGAAGCCGCCUUGAUUUGGUAAUUGCCUAAUUGAAGCCGCCUCAUUUUCAGGUCUAGUUUGAUGUAUCCGGCGGGGGUAUUUGUUUGACUGGAAUCUAAACUACAAGAACAGAGAGCAUUUAUAUUGUCAAAAAAUAAAGAUGUGAUCAUCCUAUGAUCUUGAAGCAAAUAUUGUCCAAAUUCCUGAGACUCGAGCUGAUUAAGCGAGGGGAGAAUGUCAAUUUCACAUCAACUGAGUUCAUUCAAAUCAGGUGCUGCAUGAAUUGGGUUCCUCAUAAAGAUGAUGUGCAAUGUGUGAAAAGGAAGGUUUCCAAAACGGGUAAAAUAGAAGAGAAUAUGGGAUUGAUGAACUUGAAAACUUGAAUCAUCAAAUACAACUAGCGGUGUUUUAUGAUUUUCCAUUCGUAACAAGUGAAGUCAUUCAUCCAUGUCCCGGUGUUCAUAAAAUACCGAGAUGAUAUUAUAAUGCGACACUGGAAAAACAACGUCACAGACUUUUUGAGGAACCCGACAUUCCAAGUUAAGUUGCAAAGAAAAUAUUACAAGCUACAAAUAAAUUACUUUCAUAUACAACUAAAACAAAAAACAAAAAAAAGUGAACCCGUUAAGCACUGAUUUCCUUUUGAAUAUAGAAUGAUGGAGAUUGUCUUAACAGUUUUUGUUACAUACACAAAUACGGGAAUUAAUCAAGAUCUGCAGGACGGUAACGUGAUUCCUCCACAACAAGCAGCAAUGAUAAUGUACAGGAACACAACAAUCAAACAUGUCAACAGGGCCCUGUGCAAAUUAAACAAUUUUCAAUGUCCUGAAACAAUCAUAGAAUUACUUUCCAUCUAGAAACUUUUGUUUGACAAGCAGGAGAAUUCAGCAAGAAAAAACGCAUGGGUUAUAUUUAUUUCAUUUUCUAAUAAACAUAAUAUCAUCAGUAACAUAAAACAUGAUGACCACUACAAGAAAAGAAGGGCACCAUGAAACAGAAUAGAGAUCUGCAUUCGAAAAUAACAAUAGUCCACAGAUUUAUUCUCUUCAGAGGUUGAUAUCUUAGAUGAGUUCUUAGCACUAUUAGAAAAGCAUGAUCAAGUAUUCUUUCACAAAAGAUCUGAGAACGAACUGAUAUAUUCAAAACAAUGGCAACAAAUCAGUGAAUCUACUAGGUAAAUUUGAAAGAAGAAAAAGAAUGGGAAGCUUGCAAAUGACAAACAAGAAGAUUUACAGGUAUGAUUUGACUUCUCAAACUGCAACCCAUGUCAGGGAUGCUGGAAUUAGAGAGUGACUACAAUAGAGAUUGGCUGUUCUAGUGAGAGUUUUACUUUAGACUAAAAUACAAGAAAUGACAUUUCCUUCCAACUCUCCUUAAGUUGAAAAAGCCGCCAAUCUUUCCUACAGGUGUGAUAUAUUCAUUCCAUUUCUUUUGAAAUUAUUAAAAGCAAAGUAGAACAAUGAAAACAAAACAGAAGGUUUACUAAACUAGUAAACUCCAACUUCAAACAACCCUCUUCUCUCACCCCAUCUCUCGCAUCUCUUUCUGUGAAUCACUCAACCAUUUUGCUGUUGCUACUGCAAUGCUUCCCAUUCAAAUUCAUUUGGUUCCACUCAUCCUAUCUCUAGAGCAAGUCCUAACCUCAUUCAAAUUCCUAACACUCACUUGAUUAAAAAAGCAGGAUUCCGAUUUUGCUGGCUAUUCAUGAUUACACUAGUCACUUCCCAGCAUGCAUAUCUUAAGGAUAAUUACUUCUUUCUUCCCCACUAAAAAUUUCAGUCUUUUGGCAUCCGCAAUUUUUUAUUUUAACAAUGGAACAGUUUUAGCUUUUCUUUGUUCUUGUAGCCCAAGUUGGUUAGAAGAGAAGCACCCUCUAUGGAAGCUAGAGAUCAAAGCUAUUGGUACAAAAGAAUGCCCUUUUAGUUAUUGCAAGCUUGAACUAAGGCCCCUAGAAAGGGUCACUCGUUAGUUUCACUCUUUUGGUUUUUCUACAAGCGCAAAGGAGCUGUAAUUGAAACCUAUACAGGAGGCUAUGGGCAGCCAACCAAGGCAAAAAUUGGUAAUCAAGUAAAAGAGCUAUUGGAGGAAUGGUGCCUCAGUAUCUUCCUGUCUACCUUGUUCUCUUUUUCCUCCCACCAUUGUCUAUAUUCUCUAGCUUUGCUGAGACUACAGCAGCUAUAAUAAUACGUAUCCGUUUAGAUAGGAAUUUUAGCUUUUUCUAUACCACACAACCCCCCCCUCUAAAUCUGAAUCUGAAGAUGCACCCGCCAAGCUUCAGUUCACUACUGGCACUAGCUCCUCAUUGAGUGGCAUUGAUAAAAUACAAAUUUCAAAAUGCGAUAUACACCCAUUGAUGUGUGCCAUAUUCUUCUGAGACCUCGGUUAUUUGAUAAUAAAACUUAAGAAUUUUGGCUUCUGCCUAUAAAUUUUUGCCCCCACCUCCCAAAAAGCUCCAGAAGGGAACAGGUACAUUUCUCCUAAAACAGAUGGAGGCUGAUUAUGAUUCUAUCCUUGGCGCAGCUCUAUAAUUCACCUGGUCGAGUUCCGGUUGUAGGCCUAAAAGAAAGAAGACUAGAGAAAAUUUGGACUCACUUCAGUAAAGUUUUUUAAAAUUACACCAAACAAUUCCCAUGAAUCAGUUGACACACAUUGUUUUGAUAUAAACCACCUGCGAUCUCAUUACCGGGAUUAACAGCAGACAAUGAGAUUUGUGCAGAGCUACAGAUGCCAAAAAUAGUGCAAACAUUAUACAAUAUUGAUUAAUGACUUCUACGAAUGCCAAAAAUCUUGUUAUUUAUGACUGACAGAAGAUCCCUUGGAAAAAGUACAAGCUUGAUCCAACAAAAACAACAUGUGUCUUGAAAACUGUACAGAAAAUUCCAUACCAACUGAUUAACUGGUCUCUUUGGUUAUUUCUCUUCUAACACUUUUCACUUUUUUAAAGACUUGUCUUUCCAGGUCUCUAAAGCACAUAAUUUCAUAUUUAGUGUAUGACUUAAUCCUCCUAAGAUUAGAUUAGAUCUAUGGUAUAUUAGCAAAUAAAAAGUACUUACAAGAGUUUGGCAUUUUUCAUCCACAGAGCUUGACGAAGGCGCUUUGACUGUUUCUUGAAGUGAAAUGCACUGUCUUGCAUAGUUGCAGUUUUGUCAACAAGGAGUUCAAUUCGGUCGCCUCUCUCCAAAAUCUUUUCUAUGUUGUCGACCAUUAUAGUUCGUAUCUGGAUAUCAGAUAACUCAUUGUGAGAACAAACAGAGAUUUUCAAGAGCAAUCAACAACCAAACAUAAGGAAAUAAUAGAAAAACGCAGGCCAUAGCAGACCCAAAAAGUUAAUGAAAACAGUUUUGAAGUCCCUGUAUCAUGCAAAAAUCGUGUCCAACGAAACUAGCUCCUGAACUUAAAAACAAUAGCUACAUGAACUUUUCAAAUAUAAUUUCCAUCAUUUUCAUUAUUUGCAGCUUGCAGUGUAACUUUUUGCUUGUCAUUUCAAGUCUUUCAAUAAAACCUCAACAUGUCAUAUCAUCAAUUUCAUCUCUAGCUUACACUAUUAGUUAAGGAAACCAAUUAUUAGAGUGGGGGAACAAAUCUCCACAGUCAUAUAUCAACUUCGCCACUAGCUCAAACUAACACUUCCAAAAAACACAAAAUCUUUGGCCAAAUUUUUUACAAUAUUUCCAUCAUUUGUUCAUUGUCAACACAAACAUUUCCAAGACUCGUAACGGAAAAUCAAAGACGAGCACAAUAAUACUUGCCUCACCAACUUCGCCUCUCACACGGUUGAGAGUAUCAGCACUGGGAUUGCUGGAGAAAAACUCCAUUUGCUGGUGCAGCACUCUCGAAAACUCGUCGUUCAUCGCAUAAGCAGGAGCAUAAGGCGCAACUCUGCCGUAAUUCUUCAUGAAUCUCAUGUGCACAUCCUCCAAAUACGCAAACGGUAUCCUCCCUGCAUCAAAACAACCACAACUAAACCAAUCAAACACCAAAACACAGCGAAAUUCGAAAAACGACAUGAAUCGAAGCUAGAACUCACUGCCGAAAGUGUCGUUGGCCAUGCAGAGAAAGAUGAGGCCAUCCAAGGUGAGUAUGUGGAAGAUGUACCGAUCCUGGGAGAAGCAAACCCUGGAAUCGGCGUCCGGCGGGAGCUUCUCUAAGAUCCGGCGAGCCACGGCGCCUGUGUUUCCGGUGACGGCGCUAAACUCGGCCAGCACGACGGUGCCACGAGCGACGACGGCGUAGAGUAUCGCCAUGUCCGUCCCCGAUUAGGGCCCUGCGCGCUCUCUACUCCGAUCUCGAUCGAAUCCAAGUCUCACGGGCCAGUUUUGAACCUGAUUGACUCAGUCUAUUUAUAUAUUUUUUUAAAUUUUUUUUCCUUCAAAAUUGUAAUAUUACAACAAAGAAGUGAUAAUUCGAAUUUAAAGUUUGAAGUUUGAAAGUAAGCGCAACGUGAGCAAGUUUGUUGUUACCGGUGAGUCCACGACUUGUUUCGUUCGGGUGUAUGAUAAUUAAAGAUUAAAAUAUCUGUAAUAUAUCCGAUAUUUUUUUUUUUUAAGGUACCGAUAUAUCUAUAAGGGAUCAAUAUCUUAUCUUUCAUCGUAUCUAUGAUAUUUUCCCGAUAUUUCUCUGAUAUCGUCUCUGAUAUUUAGGAAAUAUCUCUGAUAUUUAUGAUAUUUCUGAUAUAUUAAAAAAUAUUUGUAAAAAAAAACUGAAAUGAUAUUCGGAAGAGAAGUAAUUCUCUCAAGGUAUAUCUCAAUGAAGAGUGUGGGUCUCGAGUGAUAUUUAGGAUAGAAGUAAUUUCCUCGAGGUAUAUCUCAAUGAAGAGUGUGGGUCUCGAGUAAUUCCCUCAAGGUAUAUCCCAAUGAAGAGUGAGGGUCUUGACUCUUGAGUGAUUUCCGGAAGAGAAAUUCCCUCGAGGUAUAUCUAGAAUAAAAGUAAUUCCUUCAAGGUAUAUCUCAAUAAAGAGUGUGGGUCUGGAGUGAUAUCUAGGAUAGAAGUAAUUUCCUCGAGGUAUAUCCCAAUGAAGCGUGAGGGUCUUGAGUGAUUUCCAGAAGAGAAGUAAUUCUCUCGAGGUGUAUCCUAAUGAAGAGUGGUGGUCUCGAGAAGAUGAUGAUGAAGACGGUGGAAGCGGAAAAAGUGGUGGAAAUACCGGGUUUGUAUAUGGACAAUCUUCUACAGUUAGUGGAUUGAACAAUUUUUCAUCUGAAGAAAAUUAUAAUCAUGCCUCCCAUGAUCAUGGCUAUUGAAGUACUAGGUAUGGCCGUAUGGAGCGCAAGAGGAUACUAUGUAUGGGAGGAGGACUAAAGGUUCGAAUGAUGAUCAAGAUGUUGCUUCAGUUGUGCUAAGUUUUGAGUCUAUCAGUUUAGGUAGUGGGAUUGGAACCUCAAAUGAAUCCCAAGAAGGCAAUAAUCAAUAUGGCUAUAAUGUUUACGGCUAUAAUCAAUGUACGGAAGUCAGUGAUCAGUCAUCUAGUUGGAUUCAUCCUUACUAUCUAUUUAUAGGGGAAACAGUCGGUUGCUCCAAAGACAUAUAUGAUUAUCAUAUUCAACACUACAAUUCGUACUAUUUGAGUCAUAUGUCUUUGUCUGAUUAUUAUACUUUUAUGGAUCAGCGUGCGUUUUAUCAACAACCUAGAUUCUCAUUUUGGAUGUAGAUGAAGUUGACGUUUGUAAUAUUUAUAUGUAAAUCCAAUAAAUUAAAUAUUUCAGAAAAAAAAAAUUCUUCCCAAAAUCCUGAUAUUUUUUCCUGGAUUUCCCCGAUAUAUCCAAUAUCUGUUUUUUUUUCUUCAAAUGACCAAUAGAUACACCGAUACCGAUAUUUUAAUCCUUGAUGAUAACAAAGUUACGAUGUUCACAAUUAGGAGCUUAUGGUUUACGAUUCCGGUGAGUCCAAGACUUUCAGAAUUUUGUGUAGUGUGUUUCGGGCAACAAUCUUCAUUUAUAUGGCUUGUAGAUAUAAGAUAUUAUGUGGAUGGUCUAAGAUCAGAUGACGUUAAGACAUAUGUAUGGUGAUCUUCACAUAUAAGAUAAGAUUACACUAUAUGUGCACAUUAUGUAUUAAUAAUUAUAAAAUAGAGCUGAAAUUUGCACUCUUUAAUUUACAAACCACACUCCCUGUAAGUUAUUUUUACCAAAUGACCCCUAAAAUUUUGCAAAAUCACAUCUCUACUAAUCCCCACCUUUUCUCUUUAACUGAAAAUGAACCUCUAUCUGGGUUGAAAUACUAUCAUCACCAACAGUUUUCUUAACUCAUCAUAUAUAUAUAUGAUGUUGGUUUGCAUUUCUCUUCUUGAGUAUAGUGUCUUAUCGAUUAAGAAAGAAUUCAUAACAAGAUUGUGUUCCUUUGAUUGAUUCUCUAUGAUGAUGAAGUUAAUUAAGAAAUAUAAAAGAUUGCAACGCAAACCCUUUGCCCAGUUUGCAUUGUUAUGGACUAGGUACUUCUUUCAACAAGAAAUCAAAAGCUUACGUUUUUAGAUAAGAGUACACAUUCAUGUAAUCUCAAUUAAACCAAUCCCUUCAUCAUUGCUAAAGCCAUUCUGAUUUAAAUGCAAAUAGGAGGACAAAAAACCAAUUACAGAGUGCAUCAACCUUUACCAUGAGCUCCCUCGCCAUGAACCCUAUUAAAUUGAGUCUUAACAAUUAAAUCAAAAGAUCCUUAGAUAUUAAAACAACUCUCAAGCAAAGUAAGAACCAUAAAGAAAUAAGCAACAAGAGUUUGAGGAGAGAGAAGACGACGAGGUAUGCACUGUGUAAGUGAUUGAGGGUAUUUUUGGCAAAUGGAAAGACAACUUAAAGAAAAUAUAAUAAAAUAAGAGUUGUGAAAUCCACACACCCUAAAUUGAAAUCCACACACCCUUUUUCUUUUUUUGGUAAUUUAAAUUUUAUCUUUUAGUGACUUAAACUUUGUCUUUUUGUGAAUGUGUUAACCAAAAAAGGAAAAAGGGUGUGUGGAUUUCAAUUUGGGGUGUGUGGAUUUCACAUCCCUAAAAUAAUCAAAAUGAGUGUGGUCUGUAUUUAGGGAAUGUAAAUUUCAGCUCCCUUAGAAAAUCACUUCAACCCCUCUUGUUUUGGAAAUAGAUGCAUUGAUAGUUGUUCAAGAGAUAAAUAACUUAGGACCAAACUGGUCUAUUGAAUAUGCAUUAGGGUGAGUUUGUUUCCGCUUUUAGGCUGCUUUACUUUGUAGUAAAGUUGCAUAAAGUGUUUGGUAACUUUGAAAAUGUCCUGCUUUGCUUUGAAGCAUUGGCCUUUUCAAGCCAAAAGCCAAAGCAACUCCUACCUUGAGUUUGGAAGCAGAAGCAGCGCGCUACUGUAGCGAUGAAUUAAUGAAUCUUUUAAAAUACCAAUGGGUACCCCUCAUGGCUCACAUGAAUUACGACCCAAUAUCAUUUGUGAAAACGCUGCUGCUACUUCAUUUGCGUCUUCUCUUUCAGUUCUUCAACUCUGCCACUCUCCUUCACAAUUCACAAACGUCAAUCACAACCUUGGGAUAAAAGAGAAGAAGGAGAUCGUUUGAUUUUCUGGUGAUUUCUCUUCUUCCCCUUUUCGCACCUGAUAUAUGAAGUCAGGAAAUUGUUUACUUGAUUUCCAUGGUAGUUCCACACUUCCACCGCUGAAUGGUUGUACUUGGAUAGAAGGUAGAACUCAUUCUUGUUUAUUGUUUAUUUGUAUUACAAAUUCAGUUGAUGAGUAAUUGGUAGGUUUAAAGAGAUUUUGAGUAAUUUUUAUUUAAGGUAAAUUCUUAUAUUGAUUGUAGUUGAAUAUUUGUUUGAUUGUUGUGGUUUGAAGAAAUUGAUAGGUAUGUAGUUUUGGGUUUUUUGAUCAUUGUACCUUUGCUCUGAUCAAUGUGAAAAAUGUGAUCGUUACAACAAUCACAUAAAAAAAGUUUACACUUUCUUUAUUGAGCCUAACCUUCAUAAUUAGGAAUUGUAGAUUUAUGUAAAAGCUAGGUAAGAUUACAACCAAGUCUUGAUAAAGUCCACAACACAGUGAUGGAAACCAUCUUUGUUGCAGUUUUUAUGUGGUUUUGUAAUUCAUCUUUGUUGUUCCUAUUGUUAAAUUUUGAUUGUUUUGCAAUUGAUCUUUGUUGGAUGUACUGAUUAGGCAUCUCAAUUUCUUUGAUAUCAAGAGGAGUUAGAAACAAUUGGAUCAUACCUUUUGGACUGGGCAUCCUGAGAUUAUUUGUAAUUGACAAAAAAUUUUAUGCAGGGUCACAAUUUUACAGUUGAAGCUGAUGGGUACUAUGUGGAGCCAUUUGUGAUCAAAAACAUAUUCUUUUACUCUGGUGAGACAUACUCAGCUUGAAACAUGAAGUAGUAAUUGUUAGUGGUAAAAUCAAAGGACAUGCUAAAUGUGCUAGUGCUUUAUAUAAUUGGAGCAUUCAUUCCAGCAACACAGAGAUCACAGUGUAACUUCUCAACUGGCUCAACAAAAAGAAUUUAAUUUGAGAAAACCACCUUCUUUUCCAUUGUAAUCUACUUCCUUUAGAGUGCAUGGUACGCAAAUGUCUUUCUUAAUAUUCGUGUUUGCUAGAACUUAUGUGGAUGCAAAACAAAUUGCACUUCUUAUCCAUUUGGUCUGAGAUAUUUUUGCUACAUGACAGGUCAUGAUAUGUGGUCUGAUAGGAAUACAGAGAUUAUAACUUAACUGGUCUUGUGUUGUAAUCAAAGAUAAUAAGUUCAAUACCAUCUCAAUUUCUUUUCAACCACGACACUCUAAAAUAAUUUUCUAAGUGUUCAGAAUACGGAGAUGCACGUAUCGAUACAUUUCAACUCAGUUGGAACAUGUCAGAUGGUCAAGGAACUAGAGAGGUUAAGAAAGAGGCUCAAGGUGAAGUGAAGUUAAGUUAUUGUUUUUUGUUGUUGAUGUAACUUAUAGCCAAUGUAUGGCUAGUUGUACAAGUUUGGAGGCUUUGUAAUCAGAUGAUGUCUUGUGUAAUCUAUAUAUGUUGCCUAUUAAUUUGAUCCCAUAGUUAUGAACUUGUGAUUAUUCUAUUUGGUUCCUAGUUAUCACUUAAUCAAUUCUCUUAACCUUUCAUCUUAUCGUUGUGAACCUGGGAAAAGUGUGAGGUCACAUACAUAUUAGAAAAUUACGGUAUACACAAGAAAGAGUAAAAUAACUGGAGAAAUUACGAGUACUUGAGAAAUGCUACUUAUAUGGAUUGAAUUCCAUAGGCCAUGACUGAGAAGUAAAUAAAGAGAAAAGAUUUCUCAUGUCCAAAUGGGUCAUUGCACAUUCUCAAAACACUUUUAGUUUUUACUUACCAAACACUUUACCACUACUUGUAACACUUGCAACACUUAUGAAAAGCCAGUUUACCAAACACGCAGUUAUUUUGCUUUCCAGCUACUUAUUCUUAGAAUAAGUAAAAGUCAGCUGUUUUUGGAAGCCACAACUGUACCAAACACACCCUUAGUAGAAGAGAUGAAAUCUUUAUUAAACUUAUUCUCUUUCAAAGUUUUUUAAUUUGUGUGGAAGUGUUUUCAGCUGUAAUCAUCUAGUGUGGUGUGUUUUUAUUGCAAAUAAGUGUUUGUACUUGUAAUUAUGAAUACCUAACCCGAGAAUGAGGCUCUGGGUUUUGUAUUUGUAGUUAUGUUGAAAUAAAUAAAUUCUAUCUUGUACCCAUUAUUUGGUCACAAAAAAAUUUAAUAAAUAUAUGCAUAUUUGAGUCUGCUUUGUGUUUCUAUUUUACAAAUACUUUGCUUUUAAGAAUUAAGAAUUUUCCAUACUAAAACAACAGUGAUUCCGUCAUAUUAAGUAACUAUUUAGACAAUAAGUCGUUAGGUGAAAUAGUGGCAUGUUGAAGGCUAAUUCUUAUGGUGGUGAGUCUUAGUCUUAUUAAAUAAAGUAAUAAGAAAACUUAAAAAGAAAUAUCUACCCUUUUUUGUUUACUACACUAUAACGGAAUAGUUGCCAAAUUUAACGGAAGUAUGUCAUUGAUAGCAAAGUAGGAGUUUAGGUACUACAUUGACAGCUUUGUAAGUCUGGGUAUCAAACUGACUGAGACACAAGAGUUGAGACACUGUUGGUGAAGUUUUCUUUUUGUACAUAUAUAGCCCUAGGAAAUGUAAUCAGAUAUUGCACAGUUAAAUCAGAAUGGCUAACCGAUAUGCUUAAACAGUGAUGCAAACUUAUCUACUACUUUAUAUAUGCAAUUAGUUCUUCUAAUAUAAAUCACUUAGGGUACCAUUUAUAUAUGUAAAUUAAGAAUUGAAAUUUGUUUAGUCCUUAUGGUUUGAAGUCGACAUCUGUUUAGUCUUUCUAGUUUUAUUUUAAUCUGAAUAGUCCUUAAAGUCACAAUUUUUCAUUUAAAUAGUCCUUAUGGUUUUAUUUUAAUAUGAAUAGUCCUUAAAGUCAUGAUUUUUCAUCCAAAAGCCUUUCCGACAAUUUUCUCAGUUAAAGGCCAUAAGGACUAUUUGGAUGAAAAAUCAUGACUUUAAGAACUAUUUAGAUUAAAAUAAAAUUAUAAAGACUAUUUAGAUGAAAUAUAGUAACUUUAAGGACUAUUCAGAUUAAAAUAAUACCAUAAGGACUAAACAGAUGUCGACUUUAAACCACAACGACUAUACAAUAUUUUACCCUUAAAUUAAUAAAACAUAUUUUAACACUGGUUUAGUAGAUAGUAAUCAGAAGACUAGGAACUCGAAUAUGAUUAUGACGGUGAAGUUAGAAGCCCUAGCGUUUGUCCCUCGUUGUGUUCAAAACCCUUUUCAACAUUCUAUCAAUCAUCUAGUUUGUUUUACUCUUUUCUCAUUGUUUACAAAAAUCACAAAAAAAUCUUCUUAUUUUCUUGUUAGUCAUUAGCAUAUUUUGGUCAAUUAGUUAGAGUUGAAAGUUAGUUAUCCAUCCCUAGUUGGAACGACCUCGUAUUUGCAUAAGCUAUACUACAAACGAUUCGUGCACUUGCAAAGUUAUUAAAAUUUGACAACAUAACCGAUUUCAACAAUCCAAGAAUCCGACCUGUUUGCAACUUUUCAUAGACUCCAUAUAUAUUUCUAAUUUUAAUGAGACAAAGGCUUGCAAGUAAUCUGUUCCACUACAACAAUGUGGAGCAAAGGUCACACACCUGGUGUGGCCUUUGGGGGUGUUGUAUUUUUUGUUAAGUGUGGCAAAUGAGGGUAUUAAUGUAGGUAUUGGUGAGGUAUGAGGGAAAAUGCCACACAUGAUGAUUUGCAACACCUCUAAAGACCACACAUCUUGUGUGGCCUUUGCUCCAUCUUGUUGUAGUGUCCCAAGGAAACAUGCAAAACCAAUUACCAAGCAAAGCCAGGUUGCUUUGCAAUACCUAAUAUGGUUCACAGCUUCACAUAAGCCGUACACUUCUGCAAGCACAUGACAGGUACAACACAUGAUAUAAUCUUGAAACCUUAACAAGACCCUAUUACGAAUUUAUUUAUGGAAUUACAAAAAGUAAUCUUCUUAGUUUACUUAAACUUCUACUGUCAAGAUCAGUAAGUUAUCGGUGAUAAGCUCGAAAUAUACGCAACAUGCCUCACAUUAUACCUUAUUGAUUAGUUCAAAGACACAUCACUUAUUUUGCAAAGCUUGUUCUUUAGCAAAAAUAGGAUCGAGACCUUCCUAUGCUAAAGAUAACCAAAAUAUUUCAAAGAAUACAAUGUGAUUAUUGUGGACUUAUCCAUCCAGAAAUGACGGACCAUUAAAGUACUUUAUGGUUUUAGAGGAUGUUUCGAUACGCUAGUCACAUGUCGAAUAAUUAUCCACAAGAAAUGCUGCAUUUGAAAACUCUUAGCACAUCUUAUACAUCUAAGGGUUCACCACCCUAAUCACCAAGUCUAUAGGACUUGACAAUGCUAAGAGUUCACAUCAAAAGUAUUUGAUGAUUAUUGCUUGUUUAUCAGAAUCGAUGUAAAGCAUCUUGUACCCCAUUUGCAUACACAAAAUGGUCUAGCAGAAGCCACCAUCGAUGGUGGCUAGAGCACUGGUUACGCAAACAAACCUGCCUAUAUCUGUUUGGGGUUACGCAAUAUUGCACACAUACUUACUUAUUCAUUUUUAGACUCACUACUAGUCAACCAAUUAAUGUGUACCAGUUGGUAACUGGACAUGAGCCUGAGAUUUACACAUAUUUGGUUGCACAACAUAUGUGUCUAUUGUGCCCCCACAAUGUAUCAAAAAUGGGUCCUUAGAAACGAAUAUGUAUUUAUGUUGGAUACGAACCUCCAAUAAUUACAACCGAUCUCACAACUCGAUUUGCAGAUUGUCACUUUUAUAAGACAAUAUUAUCGUCGGUAGGGGGAGAUAAGAAAAAGAAUAAUCUAUGGGAACGACAUGAAUUUUCGUGUUUGUCCCACUCUGUUUCAUCCUGAUCCCCACAUAAUCAAUAUUUAGAACGUAACAGUUUCGAUGCCUGAUGCGUUUAAAGAUAUUGCUCAAGUGACGAGAUCACACAUACCAACUGCAAAUGCCUGCAAGGUCAAAAGUCCCCAAUAAGGUGCACGUCACCGCAAAUAGAGGCGAUGUAACUACACUUAGUGGAGGUGUAGUUGAGGUCGUGGCUCCCUAAAGGAAGAGGGGGAGGGCACUUACUCGCCCAAAGGAAAAAGGUGGGUAAGGCACAACCUAAUAAUCAUCAAUGUAGUGAAUCUCUGUCAUAAGAUUGUCUCUGAUUACAAUUAUGUUCAUGAAUCAAUACUGGAGGACACUCCGAUGUUUAAAUGAUUCGUGAGACAAAAUCUCAAUGAAUUACAAGAGUAUACACAUUGAUGAUAUAUUCGCACUGUUGCUCAAGAAACUAUAGAGCACGAUGAUAUUGAACCAGGUUAUGUUGAAGAAUGUCAACAAAGAGCAUAUUGACCUAAAUAAAAGUGCAAUAUCCAAGAAGAGCUAUUCUCUGACAAAGAGACAGAUAUUUGGUUUUUGGUAGUGCUAACCUUAUCAAGUGUAAUGCCCGUAGGACAUAAAUAAGUCUUUGUCAAAAAAUGUAAUGAGAAGAAUGAAGCCUUGAAGAACAAAGCUCGCCAAGUGGCGCUAAGGUUUCUCGCAACGCUUUAGAUUGACUACGAGGAGACAUAAUCUCUCAUAAUGAAUGCAACUCAUCGAUGUGGUUACUAGUUAUCUCCAUGGGGAUCUUAAUUGAGAGAUAUUUAUUAAAGGGCCUAAUGGCCUUACACUAUCCAACUCAAGUAACUUUAAACCACGGAGUGCGUUUGCAAUUAGAAUUGAAACACUCACUAUAUUAAAAGUGACUACUUUGUUGGGAAGGGAUAUAAAUGAUGAACUAUGGCCUCAUAAAGGAAACAGGUUCGGAUUUGCAAUUAUAGUCAUCUAUAUGUUGAUGCUAUGAAUAUAGUAGGUAUUCUUGAUGAAAUAAAAGAAACCGCGAGCUACAUAAAAUCCGAAUUGAAAUGAAUAAUCUUGGGAAACUCAAUUAACAAUGAGUUUAUGUCAGUACCCACCCUGAAUUUCACCCUGAAAUCCGAAGUAAAUCCUGCGGGGUCCAUCUAUCUUCAAGGAAAAUUUACUAAAAAUUCAGCAUAAUCUAUCUUGAAAAUGAACAACCCUUACCUGAAAAAUUCCAAAUAAACAAUUCUAUUAAAAAUCAUCCAUCCUCAACUCCUGGUGCCUUCAUGCUCCCCAAGUUCAUCACAUCUCCCAAUAUAUCAAUUAAUCAUCUAAAAGCAUCCCACAACCAACAACAAAGACAUUUAAUAAUUUACUACUGGUCUUUCAGAGCAUAUCUAAAGAUGAAUGAAAAACAAUGAAAACGAAUAAGCGAAAGCAGCCCCUGACUGUGCCUCGACUCCAUGUACGCUCGACCUCAUUUAAACUUAUCCUGCAUACUGGGCAUUUAAAACCAAAAGGCCCAGGGGAAAGUAAUUUAAAAACGUUAGAGUGAGUGGACAAAAAUAAAUUAAACAAUUUAACAAAAUACGUAAUUUAAAUACUUUCCCACAUUUCAGUUUUAAAAACUUAGCUGCACGCAACUUUCGUAAAUCAUAUAACUUAAAUUCCAGAAACCCAAUAGAAUGGACAAACCAAUCCCGCUGGUUAAUCAAAUAAAGAAAUCUCGUAAGAAGAGAUAAACCAACCCCGCUGGUUAAUCAAAUACAUAACAGAGAAAAAUAAAAUAACAGGAAAAGUUAUCACCAUGUAAGAGGAGCCUCCAAGGCUCGGGUCGGUGCCUCCCAGACCAUAGUAGCGUCCCACGCUAAGUGCUAAACUCACCUAUGGUGAGGACAGCUAAUAAGGCUAGCUAACAAUAAAUAAAAAUAUCUGAUCGGUGCCUCCCAGGCUAUAGUAGUGUCCCAUGCUAAGCGCUCGACUCACCUAUGGUGAAGACCGCUAAUAAAGCUAGCUAGUAAUGAAAUAUAAGCGACCCUAUAUUUUGGUGACUAAAAACAUACGACAUCACUUAAAUCCAUUAAACUUCCCCAAGAUCAUAUGAAUGGUACGGUUACGGUUCCCAACCGUACUUGAAAAUCAUCAUAAGAAAUUAUAUUAAAACUCAAUGACGUGUCUCACACGUCAAAAUAUUCUCAAAGCCAUAAUAUAAGCGAGGUUUAAUUAACAAGUAAAAAUCGUAAUUAAUAUCUCAAACCAAAAUACUCGCUAAAAUAUUCUCAAGGUCAAGAUCGAUAUUCCACAAAUAAAUGCGAAAAUUAUAAAUAGCGAACUACCGAUAAUCCCAUUUUCGGAAAUCUUUUAUAUAAAUCUCAAGUCCACAACUAAAGCAAUCAUAAUGAAAUCCAGAAUUUAUAAAGAAUAUCCAAACUCAAAUACCAAAUUAGUAAUCCGAGCUCAAAUUCAUAAAUCAUGACCCAUAAUUAAUCAAUGCUUCAAACUUAAAUACUUUCCAAGAUCAUUUCGUAAGCCGAAAUUAUAAUAUAAGUUCGGAAAAUAAAAUAAUAAAUUAUAAAAUCUUGCAUGCAUAUUUAUUUAAAACCAAAAUGUCCACUCACAAAUUUAAGCAUAAGCCCGACGAUAUCCACAUCACCACUCAAGCGAGGUUCCCUUCGUAUCCUGGCACAAUAAAUAUGCUUAGGACCAAACUUCAAUUCCGGAAAAUAAAUACUUGAAUAUAAACACCCAAAUCUCUUCCGCUUAACCCACUACUCUUACUAGGGUUAAGCUUACCGGAUUCACACCAAACUCCACCACAACCUUAAUUCAUCAAUUCUAACAUUCUAGAAUAAAUACCAAGGAAAUCCAACGGCCAGAUUUUCACUAUAACAACCGCCAAAAUUCUCAAUUUUUGAAAAAUCCCAAACCUAACCAAAACUCCUCCAAAAAUUCCAAACAUUACAUCAUUAAACUCCUCUCAUUAAAACAAACUCAAAAACAUGAAAAACUACCCCUAAGCGGCAGCGGCGCCGUCUGUUCCGCGGGCAGCGGCGGCUGGCCAGCCCAAUUUCAGGCGACCUCCAAUGGCUACCAAAUUUUGACACAAUUUUCCUCUCAACAUUCCAAACAACUUUCAUAACUACCACAAAGUCCAAUUUCAAGCCUAACUAGGGUAAUCGAAGACAAACAUAAAAAAAAAUCUCAAUUUCAAACCUUAGAAUUUCAAACCUUUGAUUCUCCUUACCUAGCUCGAGUUAGGUCGAAUCCUUUUAGGGGUUUGCUGCUGGAAGGGAGAGCUUCAAGACGAGACCGGUAGCUCUGAUUUUUUUGGCCGGAAAAAGGAGUUCCGGCGAGAACACCUCCGCGGCACAGCCGUGACUUCCAGGCGAUCAUGCUCCUUCACGGUGGCGCAACAUGGGCUUCCACCUACCUAGACUUGUUGUCACAUCCCGACCCUUAUAUUUUUACCUUAUUUACUAGCGUGAUUAUAAUAUGAAUUUUACCGUCUCCGUCUUUGAGUUAAUAGUUUAAGUGGUCCCUAGAGGGGUUCGGGGACGAUUAUGUGCGGAGGAUUAUUCGUAUGAGGAAAAAUACGACGACGGUAAAAAUGGUAAAUUUAGCUAGUAAAAGGUAAUUUUUAUUCGGGUAUUAUUUUUCGGGGUGUUUUUAUUUUUGAGUUGGGUUGAUAAGGGUGGACCGGUUGGGAGGCCCAACCCAUUUCUUUUUUUUCUCUUCUUCUCUCUUUUCUCUUCCUCCUCUCUCCCGUGCCCUUUCCCCCCUGCCGGAUCGUCCAGCCGCCGUCCGGCCAGCCACCGGCCGCCGCUCCACCCCAGUUCGGACCCCCAUCUCCUCCUCUCCCACCCCGGCCUAGCCCCCGAGCCUCUAACCCGCCGGAAACACCGGGAAGCAUUUCGCCGGAACUCCCUCCUCCGGCCACCAAUCCGGGCAAGCUUGGUAUGGUUUUGUAGCCCUCCAACCCAGCAGUCUUGCCCUAAAAGGACUCACUCCCUCUUGAGCUAGGUAAGGAGAAAUUUGAGGUGGAAGUUUUAUGGUGUUUUUGAUGUUUUUAGUCGAUUGCCCUAGUUAGGCUUGGAAUUGGUGUUUGUGCUAGUUAUGAAAGUUGUAGAGCUUGAUGAGAGGAUUAUUCUGUCAAAAUUUCAUAGGUUUUGGAGGUCGCCGGAAUUGACUUCCGGCCGCCGCUGCCGGCGGAGCCACCGGCGGCGCCGCCGCCGGUUAGGAGAUUUUUAGGGUUUUAAGUGUGGAAUAUUAAGAGGAGUAUAUUGAUGUGAUUUAUGGAAUUUUUGGAUGAGAUUUGGAUAGGUUUGUGAAUUUCCGAAGUUUGGUAUUUUUGGCGGUUAAUUAAUGUAGAAUCCGGCCGUAGGAUUUAAGUCGUAUUUUGGAGAGGUUGUAUUUACGACUGUUGAGUAUGAUAUUUAAGUUCGGAUUGUUCCGAUUUAAGAAUAUCGAAGUUAGGCAAUGAUGAGCGUAUUUAUGGUUCUCGGGUAAUUUUGCCUAUUUUGAUUAAAUAUUGGAUUAUUGGUUGGGAAAUUAAUAUUAUAUUUGGAACAGGACGUGAGGAGGCUCGAGCAGACGAGGCCCCAGAUCGACAUCAGGCUUAGGCCAAAUUUGUGAGUGGACGUUUAUUUUAAAUAAAUGCAUGCUAUAGUUCAUGGUUGAACAAUUAAAUGUCGUGGAGUAUUNNNNNNNNNNNNNNNNNNNNAGUUUUCAUCAGUAGGUUACCUGUUCAACCUACUCGUGUUUUCUUACUUCCGCUUGUGUUUAGUAGCUCUGAAUACCUUGGGAUUAUUGUAUAUUACGUGUAGAAUUUCGGAAGGAUAAUUAUGUGAUGUUUGGAAGUGUUGAUUUAAGAGUGUAAUUUGGAAUUUUCGAGUUAGGGUUGUCCAUCUGCAAGGGAGAUUUUCUUAAUCUUUUCAGUAAAUUUUCCUUGGAGGUGGUCCCCGCACGACUUACUCCGGGUUUCCUUGGAGGUGGUCCCCGCACGACUUACUCCGGGUUUCAGUGUGAAAUUCAGGGUGGGUCGUGUCACUUGUAGAGGAUGCUCCAAGCUUCAAUUUGAUACCAAGCUUGCCGCCUAUCUUGGCCGGAUGGCGGCGGACGGGGGCGUUGAAGUCCGGCGGUCGAAACUGGCGCGGGAGAGGAGAGAGAGAGAGAGAAAGUAACUUUCUGAUUUCUACCUUACCUCUUCUGGUAAGUUUCCCUUUUUAUACUCCCAACUGAAAUAAUAACUAUUGUUUUUAGACCAUAACUUCUUCAUACGAACUCCGUUUUAAGCGUACCACGUGUCCACGAACUCUGUUUAACGUCCUAUACGACUUUCAUGAAGAAAGUUUUCCCAAAUUUUAGACGAAGGAAAAGUCAACUUUUGAAGCCUUAAAUAGUAAAUGGUUACUCAAAACAGUAAAAGGUCAAAGUAACCUAAAAAUCAAUAACCGCAAAUUAAUUGAAGAACCGGGAUGUGACAGUUUAUGGAAUACUAAUCCACCAGUUUACAUGUGUCUAAAUGAUUCUCAAGCAUUUACAUGGACAAAAUGUACACUGUUAGCACUCCCAAUGAUCAGUCGAUGUUUGGAUGUAAAGAA
rnacentral:lncRNA from 1 species